UAUGUGGUCUCUAGGAGCUCCCUUAAAUGUCGUCAUUGAUUCUUGUGCACAACAUUGAUGUCAUGCACCAAGAAAGUAAUGUUUCUGAAGCCAUCAUACACACCUGCAUGCAUUUUGAAAAAAACAAAGGACAAUCUGAAAGCUCAAAGAGAUCUAGCAAUGCUUUGUGACCGACCAACCCUAGUGCUCAAUGACAACGGUAAGCCACCACGUGCCUUGUUUUCUUGCCAUAUAGCUAUAAAUUACAUGUGUGCUGAACCUUCAUAUUGUAUUGCAGGAGACAUACAGGCAGGAGAUGGUUAGGAAGUAUGGAGAAGACUACGAUUGGCGAGGAGCGCCUACCAUCGACGCUGAAGUUGUGCAUUCUAUUGGAGGAAAGGCGCAUGGACGGUAUUAACUUGUGAAUUUUUUCAAUAAUAUUGGAACUAUGACCGAAUAGCUAAUUUUCUUGUUUUCAAGAUAUUCUACGUUUACCGUUGUGAUUGAUUCGACGGAGUAGCAGCCGUAGUCAGCGCUCUGUAUCUAGCAUGGAGGACGCUAUGAGUGAGCAGCAAGAAAAGUUUCGUGAACAGCUGCGGCAACAACAAAUGACAUUUCUCCAACAUCAAUCAGAGUACAUGGUUGCUUACAACGCACAGGCGCAACAAGCAAUGAACGUGAGUGUCUUAUUUAUUCUCAACACGCUCGAUAUUGGUUCUAUAACUAAUAUAUUAUAUUUGCAACAGUCUUGGUUUCCACAGCAGGCAUAACAACAACCAUUUGUUUUCCCUCAAUUUCAGCCACCGAUGCCUCAGUGGGGAUUACAUGCUCCGCCACCUCCACCUCCACAUCAAGUGCUUCAAUUUAGUUAAGGCUUGUCGUUUGUAUCAACCUAAUUUCAAAUCUUUACUAAACUUGAUUUUGUAGGGAUCCGGGGUCAUGGGCCACAACACGCCACCACCGGUGAUACCAGCACCAGGAGGAGCUUAUGCUGGGGUUAGUUUGACAAACAAUUUGUUUGAAUAGUGGUCAUGCAUGUAAACACUGUCGUUAUUAAUGUCUUCUUUUUUCUUUAGAAUCCAAACCCGUUACACGACUUCGUCAACGAGUUUUUCGCUUCUGGAGGUAGUGGUCACAACUCCAAUGACCCUGAUAUGUGAUAGUUUAGUUUUGUGCUAAAUUAUGUGUUGUAAUAGACUAUUUGUGAACUUUAUGUUGUAUGGACUAUUUGUGAACUCGGAUGUUGUAAUGCACUCCAACUUUAUAUUGUGGACUAUUUGUGAAUUGUGCAAUUGUGGAUUUAAUGUUUCUGUCAUUUUAUUGUGAUUAUAUUGAUGAUGAAUUUGCUGUUAUUUUGCAUUUUUUUAAAAAAAUUCUCUGAAAUUAGUAAUUUUCGGCGACCUCAUUGGGCCGUCAAAAAUAAGUACUAUUUCCGGCAGACCUUUAUUUUCGGCAGCCAGAGACCUGGCCGCCGAAAAUAAGCUAUUUUCGGCGACCACGAGGCAGCCGCCGAAAGUCAACUCUUAUUUUCGGCGGGUGUUCUGGCGGCCGUCGAAAAUAGCCUAUUUUCGGUGGCUGGUACCUGGCCGCCGAAAAUAAAGGCUUAUUUUCGGCUGAUUUUUUCUGGCGGCCAGGAACCGCCGAAAAUAAGCCUAAGGCCCCUGAAAAUAGUUUAUUUUCGGCGGCAAAGGCCUUAUUUUCGGCGGUUUCUGGCCGUCGAAAAUGACUGUAGCUCCUGUAGUGAUAUGUGUGCCAUCUAGUGCACCUAGACAGUCCUCAAACCAUUGCCACUUUGGAUCCUCAGGUAGAGUGGUUUCUGAAUUAGGAAGCUUGAUGAACUCAUGACUUAAAGAUAGAAUCCCUCUAAGAACUUCAUUGAAGUGUCGACUGAUUGGUUCAAGGGACCACCCAUAAGUGCUACAGAUCAGCCUCAUUUUGGUGUUAUGACCUACUAUAAGCAGAAAAAUUGCAAGCUUUUCUUCUACCGACACAUUUAGGGUAUCAUGUAGGCCACUCUUUUCUCGUAAGAUGGCACUCAAGUCACUAAAAGAUCUCUUAGGCGCAAACUGUCAUAGCAAUAGACAUUUGAACCCCAGUACAUAUUACGUAGCAUUUGUUUUCUGCACUCGACAUUUCUCUCUUGAACUUCGUUAGCAUCUACGAUGUGUCUAGGUCUCCUCCGUUGAUACCGGUUUGCAAUAAUAGCCAUAAAUAGACACAACUAAUACAACAACUCACUUUCGCUUCUUUCUCUUCCUUUUAAUUUCCUCUUCGUUAGUAUAUUGAGUUGAUAUCUAGAACACGUAAUUUAUGUGUCGGGGACCAUAAUUAGGGGUACCCCCAAGACUCCUAAUCUCAGCUGGUAACCCCCAUCAGCACAAAGCUGCAAAGGCCUGAUGGGCGCAAUUCAGGUCAAGGCUCUGUCCCCUCAAGGGACACGAUCUCGCCUCGCCCGAGCCCAGCCUCGGGCAAAGACAGCCGACCCAGGAGGAUUCACGUCUCGCCCGAGGGUCCCCUCAAGCAACGAGCGCACCUCCGACUCGCCCGAGGCCCAGCUCGGGCAGGCUUCGCGGAGAAGCAACCUUGGCCAAGACCGCCUCGCCAGCCGACCGGAUCGUAGGAGCAUUCAAUGCAAGGAUCUCCUGACACCUUAUCCUGACGCGCGCUCUUCAGUCGACAGAGCCGAAGUGACCGCAGUCACUUCGCCCCUCCACUGGCUGACCUGACAAGAAAACAGCGCCGCCUACGCCGCUCCGACUGCUGUGCCACCCGUCAGGGUGAGGCUGACAGCCAUCAAGUCCGACCUUAGGCACCAUAGGAAGCUCCGCCUCGCCCGACCCUAGGGCUCGGACUCAACCUCGACCUCGGACGACGGACUCCGCCUCGCCCGACCCCAAGGCUCGGACUCAACCUCGACCUCGGACGACGGACUCCGCCUCGCCCGACCCCAGGGCUCGGACUCAACCUCGACCUUGGACGACGGACUCCGCCUCGCCCGACCCCAGGACUCGGACUCAACCUCGACCUCGGACAACGGUCUCCGCCUCGCCCGACCCCAGGGCUCGGACUCAACCUCGACCUUGGAUGACGGACUCCGCCUCGCCCAACCCCAGGGCUCGGACUCAACCUUGACCUCGGACGACGGUCUCCGCCUCGCCCGACCCCAGGGCUCGGACUCAACCUCGACCUCGGACGACGGUCUCCGCCUCGCCCGACCCUAGGGCUUGGACUCAACCUCGACCUCGGACGACGGUCUCCGCCUCGCUCGACCCUAGGGCUCGGACUCAGCCUCGACCUCGGAGGAGCCUCCGCCUCGCCCGACCUUGGGCUCGGACCGACCACGUCGCAGGGGGCCCAUCAUUACCCUACCCCUAGCUAGCUCAGGCUACGGGGAACAAGACCGACGUCCCAUCUGGCUCGCCCCAGUAAACAAGUAAUGAUGGCACCCCGCGUGCGCCAUGACGCCGGCGGUUCUCAGCCCCCUACGGAAGCAAGGAGACGUCAGCAAGGACCCGACAGCUCCGACAGCUGUGCUCCUACAGGGCUCAAGCGCUCCUCCGACGGCCACGACAUCACAUGAACAGGGCGCCAAAACCUCUCCGACAGCCACGUCGGCAUGUACAUAGGACUCUGGCUUCCCUAUGCUAGACACGUUAGCACAUUGCUACACCCCAAUUGUACACCUGGGCCUUCUCCUUACAACUAUAAAAGGAAGGUCCAGGGCCCUCGUACGAGAAGGUGGCCGCGCGGGAGAACGGGCCGACGCACAAGGCUCUCGCUCUCUCUCUCUCCCUCGCGAACGCUUGUAACCCCCUACUGCAAGCGCAUCCGCCCUGGGCGCAGGACAACACGAGGCCGCAGUUCCCCUUAUUGUUCCCCCUUGUGCUCCGUCUCGCGCCGACCCAUCUGGGUUGGGACACGCAGCAACAAUUUACUCGUCGGUCCAGGGACCCCCCGGGGUCGAAACGCCGACAGUUGGCGCGCCAGGUAGGGGCCUGCUGCGUGUAGACAAAUAGCUUCCCGUCAAGCUCCAGAUGGGUAGUCUCCAACAACCUCUCCAGCCCGGGAUGAUGCUCCAUUUCGGGAGUCUUUAGUUCAUGUCCCUCGACGACAGCUACGAUAUGAUACUCCUUCCUCUGCCGCGCGACAACGACAAUGGCGGCCGUCAGCCCGCCCGCCGGCGGCGGAAUCGACGACGUCUUCCCCGCGUGGCGGAAGAGCAACAUCCGGGUCUGUCCCCGUCACCUUCCCCGCCGACGAAGGAGGAGUCGGGGCAGGCAUGGCCAAGCAGGAGGCGGCACCUCGUCGGCUGUCGAGCAAGUCGACGGCGCCGGCGCCCCAACGGGGGACACGUCGGGCGUUGACCUCGCGUCUGAGACGAAGACGAGCGUCGUUUCCCCGCAACACGCCAACCCCAAGCAGAUGGACGACGCCAGCACGCUUGCGAAGGACUUGCUGGGCGUUAGCCUCGUACCUGAGAUGACGGUGCAGUCCGUCCCUGAUGCAACUUCGUCACCAUCCGUCGAUCAAGAGGUACCGUCCGUUUUUCAUCCUGUGCCUUUUAGAUUCAGCUUCGACCCACCAAGCGACCCCGCUUCGGUGGAUGCUUUCAUAAAGGCAUAUCCGAACCUUCCGGGGGUACCAUAUGUGGUCAACCUGGGACCGACUGACAGCCGUCUCGACCUACGGGCCCCUGGGUUCCGAGGAAGAUGACGAGCCCGACUCUGGUUGGGAUUUCUCCGGGCUCGAUAACCCCCAUGCCAUGUGGGACUUCAUGACCACAUGUGACUACUGCCUCUCCGAUUGCUCCGAUGAUGGCCACAGCCUUGACGACGAGGACUGUGGCCCAAAUCGCGAAUGUUUCCACGUCGAUCUAGGGGGUCUCGACGAAGGCAACCACCUUGGUAUGCCAGAGGACGUCGAUCCCCCUAGGCCUGCGCCUCGCGUUGACAUCCUUUGGGAGCUAGUUGUGGUCCCAGUCCCUGCGGGGGGUCAGGACGCACAGCUCGAGCAAAUCCGUGAGAUGCAGGCCAGGCUCGACGAGGAAGCAGGACAACUUGUGCCGCUCCGGCAAAAUAUCGGGCAGGAGGGGGCAGGCCGAGCACCGGUCGGAGAAGCACGUCAUCUGGCCUAGGACGUCCAGCACCACAUCGCCGACGAUGCCAGGGCAAGGCUGCCCCCAGCUUCUAGUGGGGUCGGCCAGAACCUGGCUGCAGCAGCAAUACUACUCCGAGCGAUGCCGGAACCAUCCACCACCGAGGAGCGAUGUAUCCAGGGAGAGCUCAAGAAUCUCCUGGAGGAUGCUGUGGUCCGACGGGCUGAAAGGUCUGCCUCCCGAAGGCAAGGGUACCCCCGGAGCAUCGCGCCGUGACUUCCCGAUUCAUGCGGGAAGCCUCAGUCCAUACCGGGCGCACAUGGGACACAGCGCCUGCGGCCCCGGGACGCCUCGGCAACGAGCACCACCGCCGCGACCGUCGAGCCCACCUCGACGAUAAGGUGCGCCAAGGCUACCACCCCAGGCGUGGGGGAUGCUACGACAGCGGGGAGGAUCGGAGCCCCUCGCCCGAACCACCCGGUCCGCAAGCUUUCAGCCGGGCCAUACGACGAGCGCCAUUCCCAACCCGGUUCCGAACCCCGACUACCAUCACCAAGUACUCAGGGGAGACAAGGCCGGAACUGUGGCUCGCGGACUACCGGCUGGCCUGCCAGCUGGGUGGAAUGGACGAUGACAACCUCAUCAUCGCAACCUCCCCCUGUUCCUCUCCGACGCCACCCGAGCCUGGCUCGAGCAUCUGCCUCCUGCGCAGAUCUCCAACUGGGACGACCUGGUCAAAGCCUUCGCCGGCAACUUCCAGGGCACAUACGUGAGCCCUGGGAACUUCUGGGAUCUCCGAAGCUGCCGCUAGCAGCCGAGAGAAUCCCUGCGGGACUACAUCCGGCGAUUUUUGAAGCAGCGCAUCGAGCUGCCCAACAUCACCGACUCGGAUGUCAUCGGCGUGUUCCUCGCCGGCACCACUUGCCGCGACCUGGUGAGCAAGUUGGGUCGCAAGACCCCCACCAGGGCGAGCGAGCUGAUGGACAUCGCCACCAAGUUCGCCUCUGGCCAGGAGGCGGUCGAGGCCAUCUUCCGGAAGGACAAGCAGCCUCAGGGGCGCCAGCCGGAAGACGUCCCCGAGGCGUCCGCUCAGCACGACACCAAGAAGAAGGGCAAGAAGAAGUUGCAAGCGAAACGCGACGUCGCCGACACAGACCUUGUCGCCGCCGCCGAGCACGGGAACCCUCGGAAGCCUCCUGGAGGCGCCAACCUGUUCGACAAGAUGCUCAAGGAGUCGUGCCCCUAUCAUCAGGGUCCCGUCAAGCACACCCUUGAGGAGUGCGUCAUGCUUCGGCGCUACUUCCACAAGGUCGGGCCACCGCGCGGAAGGUGGCAGAGCCCACGACAACAACAAGAAGGAGGGCCACAAGGCAGAAGAGUUCCCCGAGGUCCACGACUGCUUCAUGGUCUACGGUGGGCAAGUGGCAAACGUCUCGGCUCGGCACCGCAAGCAAGAGCGCCGGGAGGUCUGCUCGGUGAAGGUGGCGGCGCCAGUCUAUCUAGACUGGUCCGACAAGCCCAUCACCUUCGACCAAGGCGACCACCCCGACCGCGUGCCGAGCCCGGAAAAGUACCCGCUCGUUGUCGAUCCCGUCAUCGGCAACGUCAGGCUUACCAAGGUCCUCAUGGACGGAGGCAGCAGCCUCAACAUCAUCUACGCCGAGACCCUCGGGCUCCUGCAGAUCGAUCUGUCCACGAUCCGGGCCAGCGCGACGCCCUUUCACGGGAUCAUCCCCGGGAAACGCAUCCAACCCCUUGGGCAACUCGAUCUGCCCGUCUGCUUUGGGACUUCCUCCAACUUCCGAAAGGAAACCCUCACGUUCGAGGUGGUCGGGUUCCGACGAACCUACCACGCAGUGCUGGGGAGACCAUGCUACGCCAAGUUCAUGGCCGUCCCCAACUACACCUACCUCAAGCUCAAGAUGCCGGGCCGCAACGGGGUCAUCACCGUCGGCUCCACAUACCGACACGCGUACGAAUGCGACGUGGAGUGCAUGGAGUACGCCGAGGCCCUCACCGAAUCCGAGGCCCUCAUCGCCGACCUGGAGAGCUUUUCCAAGGAGGCGCCAGAUGCGAAGCGCCACGCCGGCAACUUCGAGCCAGCAGAGGCGGUUAAGUCCGUCCCUCUCGACCCCAGCAACGACACCUCCAAGCAAGUCCGGAUCGGCUCCGAGCUCGACCCCAAAUAGGAAGCAGUGCUUGUCGACUUUCUCCGCGCGAACGCCGAGGUUUUUGCGUGGAGUCCCUCGGACAUGCCUGGCAUACCGAGGGAUGUCGCCGAGCACUCGCUGGAUAUCCGAGCUGGAGCCCGACCCGUGAAGCAGCCUCUGCGCCGAUUCGACGAAGAAAAGCGCAUAGCCAUAGGCGAGGAGAUCCACAAGUUGAUGGCUGUAGGGUUCAUCAAAGAGGUAUUCCAUCCCGAAUGGCUAGCCAACCCUGUGCUUGUGAGAAAGAAAGGCGGGAAAUGGCGGAUGUGUGUAGACUACACUGGUCUAAACAAAAGCAUGUCCGAAGGUUCCCUACCCUCUGCCUCGCAUCGAUCAAAUCGUGGAUUCUACUGCUAGGUGCGAAACCCUAUCGUUCCUCGAUGCCUACUCAGGGUAUCACCAAAUCAGGAUGAAAGAGUCCGACCAGCUCGCGACUUCUUUCAUCACACCCUUUGGCAUGUACUGCUACAUUACUAUGCCAUUCGGUUUGAGGAAUGCGGGUGCGACAUACCAAAGGUGCAUGAACCACGUGUUCGGAGAGCACAUUGGUUGAACGGUCGAGGCUUACGUCGAUGACAUCAUAGUCAAGACGAGGAAAGCCUCCGACCUCCUCCCUGACCUUGAAACGACAUUCAAGUGUCUCAAGGCGAAAGGCGUAAAACUCAAUCCCGAGAAGUGUGUCUUCGGAGUCCCCCGAGGCAUGCUCUUGGGGUUCAUCGUCUCCGAGCGGGGCAUCGAGGCCAACACGGAGAAAAUCGCGGCCAUCACCAACAUGGGGCCCAUCAAGGACUUGAAAGGAGUACAGAGGGUCAUGGGAUGCCUUGCGGCUCUGAGCCGUUUCAUCUCGCGCCUCGGCGAAAGAGGCCUACCUCUAUACCGCCUCUUAAGGAAGACCGAGCGCUUCACUUGGACCCCCGAGGCCGAGGAAGCCCUCGGGAACCUAAAGGCGCUCCUUACAAGCGCGCCCAUCUUGGUGCCCCCCGCUGCCGGAGAAGCCCUCUUGAUCUACGUCGCCGCUACCACUCAGGUGGUCAGCGCCGCGAUCGUGGUCGAGAGACGAGAAGAGGGGCACACAUUGCCCGUCCAGAGGCCGGUCUACUUCAUCAGUGAGGUACUGUCCGAGACCAAAAUCCGCUACCCACAAAUUCAGAAGCUACUGCACGCGGUAAUUCUGACGCGGCGAAAGUUGCGACAGUACUUCGAGUCUCAUCCGGUGACUGUGGUGUCAUCCUUCCCCUGGGAGAGAUCAUCCAGUGCCAAGAGGCCUCGGGUAGGAUUGCAAAGUGGGCGGUGGAGAUCAUGGGCGAGACAAUCUCGUUCGCUCCUCGGAAGGCCAUCAAGUCCCAAGUCUUGGCGGACUUUGUGGCUGAAUGGUCGACACCCAGCUUCCAGCAGCUCUGAUCCAACCGGAACUCUGGACCAUGUUUUUCGAUGGGUCAUUGAUGAAAACAGGAGCGGGCACGGGCCUGCUCUUCAUCUCACCCCUCGGGAAGCACCUCCGCUACGUGCUGCGCCUCCAUUUCCCGGCGUCCAACAACGUGGCCGAGUACGAGGCUCUGGUUAACGGGUUGCGCAUCGCCAUCGAGCUAGGGGUCCGGCGCCUCGACGCUCGGGGCGACUCGCAGCUUAUCAUCGAUCAAGUCAUGAAGAACUCCCAUUGCCGCGACCCGAAGAUGGAAGCCUACUACGACGAGGUUCGGCGCCUGGAGGACAAGUUCUACGGGCUCGAGCUCAACCACAUCGCUGGACGAUACAACGAGACUGCAGACGAGCUGGCUAAGAUAGCCUCAGGGCGGACAACGGUUCCUCCAGACGUCUUCUCCUGAGACCUACAUCAACCCUCAGUCAAGACCGACAACACGCCCGAGCUCGAGAAAGUCUCGGCCCUGCCCGAGGCGCCCUCGGCUGAGCCCGAGGCACCCUCGGCUUAGCCCGAGGCACCCUCGACCCCAAGGGUGAGGCACUGAGCAUCGAGGAAGAGCGGAAUGGGGUCCCGCCUAAUCGAAACUGGCAGACCCCGUACCUACAAUAUCUCCACCGAGGAGAGCUACCCCUCGACAGAACCGAGGUUCGGCGAUUGGCGCGACGUGCCAAGUCGUUCGUCUUGCUGGGUGAUGGAAAGGAGCUCUACCACCGCAGCCCCUCAGGCAUCCUCCAGCGAUGCAUAUCCAACGCCGAAGAUCAGGAGUUAUUACAAGAAAUACACUCGGGGGCUUGCGGUCACCACGCGGCACCUCGGGCCCUCGUUGGAAACGCCUUCCGACAGGGUUUCUACUGGCCAACCGCGGUGGCCGACGCCACUAGGAUUGUACGCACCUGCCAAGGGUGUCAAUUCUACGCAAGGCAGACACACCUACCCGCUCAGGCCUUGCAAACAAUACCCAUCACCUGGUCGUUUGCUGUGUGGGGUCUAGACCUCGUCGGUCCCUUGCAGAAGGCACCCGGGGGCUACACGCACCUGCUGGUCGCUAUCGACAAAUUCUCCAAGUGGAUUGAGGUCCAACCCCUAAACAGCAUCAGGUCCGAACAGGCUGUGGCGUUCUUCACCAACAUCAUCCAUCGCUUCGGGGUCCCGAACUCCAUCAUCACCGACAACGACACCCAGUUCACUGGUAGAAAGUUCCUGGACUUCUGCGAGGACCACCACAUCCGGGUGGACUGGGCCGCCGUAGCCCACCCCAUGACGAAUGGGCAGGUAGAACAUGCCAACGACAUGAUUCUACAGGGACUCAAGCCGAGGAUCUACAACGACCUCAACAAGUUCGGCAGGCGAUGGAUGAAGGAACUCCCCUCGGUGGUCUGGAGUCUGAGGACGACGCCAAGCCGAGCCACGGCUUCACGCUGUUUUUCCUAGUCUAUGGGGCCGAGGCUAUCUUGCCCACAGACUUAGAAUACGGCUCCCCGAAGACGAGGACAUACAACGACCGAAGCAACCGGACCAACCGAGAAGACUCACUGGACCAGCUGGAAGAGGCUCGGGACAUAGCCUUGCUACAGUCGGCACGGUAUCAGCAGUCCCUGCGACGCUACCACGCCCGAGGGGUUCGGUCCCGAGACCUCCAGGUGGGGGACUUGGUGCUUCGGCUACGACAAGACGCCCGAGGGCGCCACAAGCUCACGCCUCCCUGGGAAGGGCCGUUCAUCAUCGCCAAGAUUUUGAAGCCUGGAACAUACAAGCUGGCCAACAAUCAAGGCGAGGUCUACAGCAACGCUUGGAACAUCCGACAGCUACGUCGCUUCUACCCUUAAAAUGUUUUCAAGUCGUUCAUAUACCUCGUUUACAUACACAAAUAAAGUCUAACCAUCAAGGAAGGGUCAGCCUUGCCUCGGCAAAGCCCGACCCUCCCUCGGGGGCUAGAAGGGGGAACCCCCUCUGCGUCAAAAUUUUCCUAGGAAAAAGUCUUUCUGCAAGAACAUCUUUCGUGCUUUUCGACUACUUCGAUAGUGGGAUCCUGAAAACGACGGAGUACACGUAAGCGGCAAGGCCGACCGAGCCGAGGGACUCCUACGCCUCUAGGAUACGGAUACCUCACUCAUCACCUUCUGCGAUAAGUAACUCACGCUCGAAUAAGCGAUUCCGCUGGCCGAACAAGUCUUAACGCUCGAAAACUUUUCUGUCGAAACGAUUUUUCGUGCCUUCUCGACUAUAUCGAUAACAGAAUCCUAUGGACGAGUAAGAGUACACGUAAGCGGCAAGGCCGACCGAGCCGAGGGACUCCUACGCCUCCGGGAUACAGAUACCUCACUCAUCACCUUCCGUGAAAAGUAACUCUCGCUCGGAUAAACGAUUCUACUACCGACGAACAAGUCCUGAUACUCGAAACAAGGGGAAAAGAAACACAGCUUUACAACACAACGACGGUAUGUUUGGGCCUCGGUAGCCACAAAAAAACAUACGCAUACUACAGACAAACAGAUCCUGCAGGUUCAGACAUCAAUAGGGGGGGGGCAGCAGCACCCUCAGCGUCGACUCCACUUUCGGCGGAAUCUGACCCGGCCUCGGACGGCGACACGGUCGGAGGAUCUCCCCCUCGAAGGAAGACGUUGGCACCGCGCCUGGGCCAUCGCCGCUAGGGUCUCCUCCAGGAACCCGGCCCAAGCAGACGGCUGGACCGGCCGCUCCGUAGCCUCAGCCAGCUGUCCCCCGAGGACACCAGCCCGGCUCAUGGCCUCGGCAGCCCGACUCCAGGGUUGGUCCCACCAGUGGACGACCUGGCUAGGUUCUAGCCACCACCGCUACACCUCCUCGGCCUAGGAAGUCACCUGCUCCUGGGCCGACGAAGUUAUCUUUUCGGGCCGACUCCGCCUCUGUCCGUGCUGACACCGCAGCCUCCGCUCCGGCUCAUCGUAGAGCGGCCGAGGGUUUCUUUAACUGAGCAGGAGAAGCCUCGGGCGGCAAGGCCGACCGAGCCGAGGGACUCCUAUGUCACACCCGGAUUUCGUGGCACCAAGACCCGGGCGCGAACAUAAUCACCAGGUGUGCUGGGACCAAGUCUCACACAUAUGAUGAAUCAUGGCACAUGAUCGAAUGUCACAUCUUUACUAUAUAAUCAAAGUUUUAUACAAAAUAAAUAAAUAUUUACAUUAUAAGGAGACAACGGUCCAGCAACCCAAAGUUGACUGGGAGACGAUGACCUAGACCACUCGCGAACUCAUCACAGCAUCCUCCAUGCGCCUCAUCUCGUGAUACCUGUUCUUGACAUGUGGGGGGGGGUGUGAGACAGCAAGAGUGAGCUCACAUACGUUCAUCGCUCAACAAGUUGUGGGGAAUAAUGUGCAUGAACUCGCCAAAGGUGGGAGCUCAUGUGAAGUGUAAGGCUUACCAAAGAGGAUGGUUAGAGCUGAGCAUUGCUUUUAAAGUUGGUCAAAAUUUUAUUAGCAGUUACUAAGUAUAAGUAAAUACCAGCCCAAUUAAGUAGUAGAACAAAAGUAACAACCUCACCUGCGAUGCAAUGCAUAUGACAAAUUGAGUUUAAGUUCCAUAAUUUAAUCAUGUGAGUGUCCGAGCUGCUCUUGACCGUGAGCACGGCUAGUAUACCAGUUUUACACUCUGCAGAGGUUGCGCAUCUUUACCCACAAGUCAUGUUACCCAUAUGCCAAGAGACGGCCAAUCCCAUACACCUCUACCGAGGAGGCGAGGCAGGGUAACACUACGAGGCCUUUACAAAGUUCCACUAGCUUCAGAAAACCCGCUACAGUUUAUAGGAAGCUCCAAUGCAGGAAUCCCUCGCAUGACCGCCAUCGCAGCAAAAUCAUCCCAAGGGCCUCCCUACACUGACCACUCCCCUACUGCCCUUGCCCCUUUCGGGUAAGGUAGUCUUCCACUAGCUUUUCUAGUUAAUUGGCCAAGGGCGUCCAUAAACCCUUGUGGUAGCACUGUUUUCCCGGGUGGUUCUCCAUGUUCCAAUUAACAUAAUGAUCUUAACAUGAACAAUAAAUAACAACUGAUAACAAAAGUAUAAUCAUGAAUAGUGUAAUCUUCAUACCCAAAACCACAUAAAGUAAUAGCAGGUACUACCCAAAAAGUUUAGUGGAGUCAAGGUAUAAAGAUAACCAAACUAGGGUAACCUGUUGGGUCCCAUCAAAAUUAACUUAUGCAGAUCAUUAUGAUUAAUCAGAACAUGACUGGGUAAAAAGAAGUGAUCAAGGGCACAACUUGCCUAGGACUUGAGAUUCCAGGUACCAGGAUGAUCUUCAGAUGACACGUGUCCUCACUGCUAAACGUAGCUAUACAGACAUACAUGGUAUAGGCAAAAUUAACAUUACACCAAACAUAUAUGCAAAAUACAUAUUAAUAAUCUACAUAUUGAAUUAAGAUCAUAGGAACAGGGAUUGUUAAUUUUUGAGUUAUAGAUUUUAAGUUACGGAUUUCCAAAGAUUCUAUGUGUUUUGUACAAGAUUAAAUAGGAUGUAAAAUUUAAUGUGAAUUUCAUGUCAAAAUAGAGGUACUAUGUGAUAAACAACAAUAUUAUAGAAUUAUAGAAACUGGAAUGGGUAAAUUUGGACUUCAUAUGAAUUUUAUAGGAAUUAAACAAAUUCUAGCAUUUAUUUUCACAUUAAAAAUCAUUUUCUAAUCACUUUUACUGAAUUUUAUAAUUCUCUGGACUGGGCACAAGAUAACCAGAGACCACAUGGGUUAUUCUACAAAAGUUUCCGAGACUCUAAUCUCCCUGCCGAUGGACUGCGGGUUCAUUACCUAAAAUCCCGAGGGUUCUUAUGUGAAAUGCGACGGUGAAGGGGUAUCGCGGAUUCUAAACCAUCCGAUCUAAACCAAGGGCCCAGAUUAAAUAGAUCUCACCCGAAUCAGUAAGGCAUAGCAGUCGCCGGAUCUAAUUUCAACCGUCGAGAUUUAAUGAACCGGGAUCAACCUGCGUCCGCACGAUCUGAGAUCGACGUGUGUCAUUACUCCCGGCAAGGGUUACGCGAUAACCGAUCCGAUCCGCACGAUCGCGAUCCAACGUCUGUCACUUGCACUACUCUCCGUCUAAUCACGACCGAUCAUCACGACAUCCACGGUCCCGACACCUUCUUCCUCCUAGGAACGUACUGACCAUGGCCAGGAAUGCCCAUGGCGCGCAAUGGCAGGUGCCGCACGACACCCGGAGACUACCAGGCUUUAGAUCACGGUUUCUAUGCGUCUAGAAAACAUGAGGGAGUUGAACAGAGGGCUUUUUUUUGUUACCAGGGCACGAACGGAGAUUUCUGGGUUGCAAUGGAGGCAACAAGCACCGUCAACGAAGCGCCUGUGAGAGACUCCACGGCGCCUAGGUCCACCCUGUACGCGCGAUGGCACCAACUUGGUUCCCGGCGUGCCCAGGAGGAUGCCCAGACCGUGGACGAGGUCUGUGAGACGGCUGCCAGGAACCCAACACGGCGGGCAAUGGAUUUGCGGCGGUGCCGGAGUAGUAGAAUUCGCACGCAUGCCCGAAUCGAUGAGCCCCGCACUGAGGGUCCUGAUUUUCUUGACGCCCGAGAGGCGCCUGGCCUUGGUCGGCGCGGCCGGGAAGCGGCGCACCGUGACGGCGGGCGGGGCAGCGUGCAGAGCAGACGCUUGUGUGCGAGCCGAGGUGGCUAUGGCGGCGCAAGAAGGGAGGUAGUAAGAGAGAUAUCAGGCUUGACUUUUAUGCACCAUGGUGGAGUCCGCGUGGGGAAAAUCGUCUAGUGGAUCUCCCCGAAACACGGAGCGGUCACAGCGCGCGGUCAGUCAAAAUCGCGGCGUUUGUUACGGUGCCCGGUUUCUGAUCCACGAAGAGGAUGGAGCUGACACAAGAGGCCCACAUGGCAGCGGUUCUGGGAAAAUAAAAAAAAGAAAAGAUAGAGGAGUAGUGGGCUGCGCGGGUAAGGAGUUGGGCCGCCAGUGUGGUUUUCCCAUGGGCCGAGGAGAGGAAGUGAGAGUGGGCUGACCAGGACAAUUCGGCCCAUGUGGCAGGUGGUUUUCCACCUUUUAUUUUCCUAUUUCCUUUUCUAUUUUAGUUUUUUACUUUCCAAUUCAAUUUGAAUAUAGGUUUUGGAAUUUCAGAUUUUCAAAUAGCUAAUACCAUCCUACCCCCUUAAGUUUAUUAUUCUCCCUAUUAUUUAAUUAUGGAAGUAAUAAUUGAUUUCCUUUCUCAUUUUCUGUUUUAUUUUCAUUUAUAAUUUGAGAUCAAGUUUAAGUUACGAUUUCUUUAUUUCAUCAAAAUGCCUCACAACAAAAUCAUGAGCAUGAGAUGCACAUUUCCUAGCUUUUACUCUCUUAAUUAAUUAUGAUAGUGGAAGGAAAUAAAAAUAUUCUAAAGGUUUCAAACAUUCUCAAAACCCCCUUAUAAAUAUAUUUAUUUAUCUACUUUAUUAUUAUAUUUUUUUCUUCUACCAAUAUUUGGGCAUUACAAAUCCUACCCCCUUAAAAUAAUCUCGUCCUCGAGAUUUGCAAGAAAAGGGAUACAAUAGGUUUGGUUUAGAAUUUUAGUUUCUCAUUGGGUUUUGGAAAUCAAAGUUUUGUUCAAGUUUUUUUUUCAUAAUAGUUAGUAGACGAUUUGGAAUAUAUGGAUAUUGUAUGUCUAUCCAUCUAUUAUGUCACAUGAGGCACAAUUAUGGCAAGGGUAUAAUAAGGACAGACUUCAUCCAAAACUGUGGAUCUUGAUUCCGCUGGCGAUUCAACUUGAUCUUUGAAGACUUGAGUUGAUGCAUAUCCUUCUUUGACGUGGUUGGUCUUCAUUGGCCUUUCUUCUUGGAGUUGCCAUCCGAGUUAAGUACAUAUAGUUAGGAUAGCUGGGGUACACGAGGUAGGUAGGUUUGAACAAAGUUUUACUUUGCUUUUAGGACAAAUGGACUAAGUAGCCUGUGAGGUAGGUCAUGUUGUUUGUUCACGGACGAGUUAGUCUGUCGUUCUUAAUUUAGUGCAGAGUGCAAUAAGUUAAAAUAUGUUUUAUAGGGGUAGAGUCUCAUUUAUUUUAUCACUAUCAACUGGUUAAGUGAUUGACCUUAGGUUAGCUCAACUUAAGGUUAGACUUUGUUAGGUUAGAUUAAUCCAUCACAUUAGAUCAGAUCUAAGUUAGAUUAUUAUGACUAGAUAAGAUCUCAUUAAUUUGGAUUAGAUCAUGGUUGUUACUUUAGGAUGAGAUAAGCAAAGUUGUUAGGAUAAGACGAAUAUGUCAAGGUGAGAUGAAUCUAUUGAGAUAAGAGAGAAUCUUUUAAGCCAAGAUGGAUCUAUUUAAAAAUAGAUACACUUUAAUGAAGGAUAAUCUAGGUUGUUUAGUUAUCUUAUGAAUUUUAUUUAUUUAUAUUUAUGCCUAUAUGUAUAUGCAGAUGUAAUUGUGGACAUUACUCCACAACUUAUCACACUCAAUCAAAGAUCCAAAUCAGGCAAGUAUCAUAAGAACAAACAUUCAAGUGCAUAGAUAAAAAAAUAGUUUUGUUUUUGUUCCUAAGAUCAGGUCUCCUAUUCCUAAAAGUCACUUUAGGUACAUGAUUUCAAAGUGUGAAAUCCACAUUUGUCUUUAGAAUGAAAAGGUAAGAAUAAUCAGAGUAAAGCGGAAUUAGAUGAGAAAAGAUUAAGAAAAUUUUAGAAAGAAUCAGAGUAGCAGAGGUAAGUAUAUAAGGGUCAUCCAGUUCUAUCUAGGUUUCGUCCUACAGCCAACAUCCCUCUGAUACCACUUCUGUCACACCCGGAUUUCGGGGCACCAAGACCCGGGCGCGAACAUAAUCACCAGGUGUGCUGGGACCAAGUCUCACACAUAUGAUGAAUCAUGGCACAGGAUCGAAUGUCACAUCUUUACUAUAUAAUCAAAGUUUUAUACAAAAUAAAUAAAUAUUUACAUUAUAAGGAGACAACGGUCCAACAACCCAAAGUUGACUGGGAGACGACGACCUAGACCACUCGCGAACUCAUCACAGCAUCCUCCAUGCGCCUCAUCUCGUGAUACCUGUUCUUGACAUGUGGGGGGUGUGAGACAGCAAGAGUGAGCUCACAUACGUUCAUCGCUCAACAAGUUAUGGGGAAUAAUGUGCAUGAACUCGCCAAAGGUGGGAGCUCAUGUGAAGUGUAAGGCUUACCAAAGAGGAUGGUUAGAGCUGAGCAUUGCUUUUAAAGUUGGUCAAAAUUUUAUUAGCAGUUACUAAGUAUAAGUAAAUACCAGCCCAAUUAAGUAGUAGAACAAAAGUAACAACCUCACCUGCGAUGCAAUGCAUAUGACAAAUUGAGUUUAAGUUCCAUAAUUUAAUCAUGUGAGUGUCCGAGCUGCUCUUGACCGUGAGCACGGCUAGUAUACCAGUUUUACACUCUGCAGAGGUUGCGCAUCUUUACCCACAAGUCAUGUACCCAUCUGCCAAGAGACGACCAAUCCCAUACACCUCUACCGAGGAGGCGAGGCAGGGUAACACUACGAGGCCUUUACAAAGUUCCACUAGCUUCAGAAAACCCGCUACAGUUUAUAGGAAGCUCCAAUGCAGGAAUCCCUCGCAUGACCGCCAUCGCAGCAAAAUCAUCCAAGGGCCUCCCUACACUGACCACUCCCCUACUGCCCUUGCCCCUUUCGGGUAAGGUAGUCUUCCACUAGCUUUUCUAGUUAAUUGGCCAAGGGCGUCCAUAAACCGUUGUGGUAGCACUGUUUUUUCGGGUGGUUCUCCAUGUUCCAAUUAACAUAAUGAUCUUAACAUGAACAAUAAAUAACAACUGAUAACAAAAGUAUAAUCAUGAAUAGUGUAAUCUUCAUACCCAAAACCACAUAAAGUAAUAGCAGGUACUACCCAAAAAGUUUAGUGGAGUCAAGGUAUAAAGAUAACCAAACUAGGGUAACCUGUUGGGUCCCAUCAAAAUUAACCUAUGCAGAUCAUUAUGAUUAAUCAGAACAUGACUAGGUAAAAAGAAGUGAUCAAGGGCACAACUUGCCUAGGACUUGAGAUUCUAGGUACCAGGAUGAUCUUCAGAUGACACGUGUCCUCACUGCUAAACGUAGCUAUACAGACAUACAUGGUAUAUGCAAAAUUAACAUUACACCAAACAUAUAUGCAAAAUACAUAUUAAUAAUCUACAUAUUGAAAUAAGAUCACAGGAACAGGGAUUGUUAAUUUUUGAGUUAUAGAUUUUAAGUUAUGGAUUUCCAAAGAUUUUAUGUGUUUUGUACAAGAUUAAAUAGGAUGUAAAAUUUAAUGUGAAUUUCAUGUCAAAACAGAGGUACUAUGUGAUAAACAAUAAUAUUAUAGAAUUAUGGAAACUGGAAUGGGUAAAUUUGGACUUCAUAUGAAUUUUAUAGGAAUUAAACAAAUUCUAGCAUUUAUUUUCACAUUAAAAAUCAUUUUCUAAUCACUUUUACUGAAUUUUAUAAUUCUCUGGACUGGGCACAAGAUAACCAGAGACCACAGGGGUUAUUCUACAAAAGUUUCCGAGACUCUAAUCUCCAUGCCGAUGGACUGCGGGUUCAUUACCUAAAAUCCUGAGGGUUCUUAUGUGAAAUGCGACGGUGAAGGGGUAUCGCGGAUUCUAAACCAUCCGAUCUAAACCAAGGGCCCAGAUUAAAUAGAUCUCACCCGAAUCGGUAAGGCAUAGCAGUCGCCGGAUCUAAUUUCAACCGUCGAGAUUUAAUGAACCGGGAUCACCCUGCGUCCGCACGAUCUGAGAUCGACGUGUGUCAUUACUCCCGGCAAGGGUUACGCGAUAACCGAUCCGAUCCGCACGAUCGCGAUCCAACGUCUGUCACUUGCACUACUCUCCGUCUAAUCACGACCGAUCAUCACGACAUCCACGGUCCCGACACCUUCUUCCUCCUAGGAACGUACUGACCACGGCCAGGAAUGCCCAUGGCGCGCAAUGGCAGGUGCCGCACGACACCCGGAGACUACCAGGCUUUAGAUCACGGUUUCUAUGCGUCUAGACAACAUGAGGGAGUUGAACAGAGGGCUUUUUUUGUUACCAGGGCACAAACGGAGAUUUCUGGGUCGCAAUGGAGGCAACAAGCACCGUCAACGAAGCGCCUGUGAGAGACUCCACGGCGCCUAGGUCCACCCUGUACGCGCGAUGGCACCAACUUGGUUCCCGGCGUGCCCAGGAGGAUGCCCAGACCGUGGACGAGGUCUGUGAGACGGCUGCCAGGAACCCAACACGGCGGGCAAUGGAUUUGCAGCGGUGCCGGAGUAGUAGAAUUCGCACGCAUGCCCGAAUCGAUGAGCCCCGCACUGAGGGUCCUGAUUUUCUUGACGCCCGAGAGGCGCCUGGCCUUGGUCGGGGCGGCCGGGAAGCGGCGCACCGUGACGGCGGGCGGGGCAGCGUGCAGAGCAGACGCUUGUGUGCGAGCCGAGGUGGCUAUGGCGGCGCAAGAAGGGAGGUAGUAAGAGAGAUAUCAGGCUUGACUUUUAUGCACCAUGGUGGAGUCCGCGUGGGGAAAAUCGUCUAGUGGAUCUCCCCGAAACACGGAGCGGUCACAGCGCGCGGUCAGUCAAAAUCGCGGCGUUUGUUACGGUGCCCGGUUUCUGAUCCACGAAGAGGAUGGAGCUGACACAAGAGGCCCACAUGGCAGCGGUUCUGGGAAAAUAAAAAAAAGAAAAGAUAGAGGAGUAGUGGGCUGCGCGGGUAAGGAGUUGGGCCGCCAGUGUGGUUUUCCCAUGGGCCGAGGAGAGGAAGUGAGAGUGGGCCGACCAGGACAAAUCGGCCCAUGUGGCAGGUGGUUUUCCACCUUUUAUUUUCCUAUUUCCUUUUCUAUUUUAGUUUUUUACUUUCCAAUUCAAUUUGAAUAUAGGUUUUGGAAUUUCAGAUUUUCAAAUAGCUAAUACCAUCCUACCCCCUUAAGUUUAUUAUUCUCCCUAUUAUUUAAUUAUGGAAGUAAUAAUUGAUUUCCUUUCUCAUUUUCUGUUUUAUUUUCAUUUAUAAUUUGAGAUCAAGUUUAAGUUACGAUUUCUUUAUUUCAUCAAAAUGCCUCACAACAAAAUCAUGAGCAUGAGAUGCACAUUUCCUAGCUUUUACUCUCUUAAUUAAUUAUGAUAGUGGAAGGAAAUAAAAAUAUUCUAAAGGUUUCAAACAUUCUCAAAACCCCCUUAUAAAUAUAUUUAUUUAUCUACUUUAUUAUUAUAUUUUUUUCUUCUACCAAUAUUUGGGCAUUACAAAUCCCACCCCCUUAAAAUAUUCUCGUCCUCGAGAUUUGCAAGAAAAGGGAUACAAUAGGUUUGGUUUAGAAUUUUAGUUUCUCAUUGGGUUUUGGAAAUCAAAGUUUUGUUCAAGUUUUUUUUCAUAAUAGUUAGUAGACGAUUUGGAAUAUAUGGAUAUUGUAUGUCUAUCCAUCUAUUAUGUCACAUGAGGCACAAUUAUGGCAAGGGUAUAAUAAGGACAGACUUCAUCCAAAACUGUGGAUCUUGAUUCCGCUGGCGAUUCAACUUGAUCUUUGAAGACUUGAGUUGAUGCAUAUCCUUCUUUGACGUGGUUGGUCUUCAUUGGCCUUUCUUCUUGGAGUUGCCAUCCGAGUUAAGUACAUAUAGUUAGGAUAGCUGGGGUACACGAGGUAGGUAGGUUUGAACAAAGCUUUACUUUGCUUUUAGGACAAAUGGACUAAGUGAAAGGGAAAUGUGCCCUUGGGCCAUUUCUAAGUAUUUUGGUGAUUGAGUGCAAACACAAGUGCUUAAUUGUGAAUCUAUGCCCAUGGAUGGACAAGUUGCAAAUCACAAGUAAAGGUAUGUUUCUAAGACUUAGUACAUUGGUUUUGUGUACUAAUAUAUUUGCCUAAGUGUUAGAAACAGGAAGAAGAAGAAAAGAAAGAAGUGGAGAGUGGCUGUGUACAGCCAAAGGCUGUUUCGGGCUGGGGCACCGGACUGUCCGGUGUGCACCGGACAGUGUCCGGUGCGCCAGACCAUUGCGGAGCAAACCAGCCGCUCUCGGGUUUUUCUCCGGCGACUUCGGCUAAAAUUCACCGGACUGUCCGGUGUGCACCGGACUGUCCGGUGAGCCAACGGUCGGCCGGGCCAACGGUCGGCCGUGCGAUCGGCGCGCGACACGUGGCCGAGCCAACGGUCGGAAAGAUACACCGGACUGUCCGGUGUGCACCGGACAUGUCCGGUGCGCCAACGGCGCCCAGAUCUGACUCUGACAGCAACGGUCGGAUGCGCUGUUUAAGGAAACAAAUCGGGCACCGGACAGUGUCCGGUGUGCAUCGGACUGUCCGGUGCGCCCGACGACAGAAGGCAAGGAUAGCCUUCCAGAUGUGUUCUCAACGGCUCCUAGCUGCCUUGGGGCUAUAAAAGGGACCCCUAGGCGCAUGGAGGAGGACACCAAGCAUUCCUUGAGCACUCUUGAUCACUCACACAUCAAUCUUGCGCACUUGUUCGACAUUCUAGUGAUUUGAGCUCCGUUCUAGUGUGCUAGUCUCUUGAGCUCAAGUCUGGGUCUUGUGUGUGCGUAUUCGCUGUGAUCUUUGUGUUGUGUGUGAGUUGCUAAUCCCUCCCUUACUCCGUGAUUCUCUGUGAACAUCUUUUGUAAGGGCGAGAGGCUCCAAGUUGUGGAGAUUCCUCGCAAACGGGAUUGAGAAAAGAAAAGCAAGAACACCGUGGUAUUCAAGUUGAUCAUUGGAUCACUUGAGAGGAGUUGAGUGCAACUCUCGUCCGUUGGGACGCCACAACGUGGAGUAGGCAAGUUUUGUACUUGGCCGAACCACGGGAUAACCACCGUGUCAUCUCUGUGAUUGAUUUCUUGUGGUUAUUGUGUUUUGACUCCUCUCUAGCCACUUGGCCAUAAUUGUGCUAACACUUAACAAGUUUUGUGGCUUAAGUUUUGAAGUUUCGCAGGAUCACCUAUUCACCCCCCCCUCUAGGUGCUCUCAAUUGGUAUCGGAGCCGUUCUCUUCAAGAAAGGGACUAACCGCCCGAAGAGAUGGAUCCUAAAGGGAAGGGAAUUGUGAUCAACGACAAGGAGAAGGAGUCCUUCUUCAACGAGCCAAAGGAUGACAAGUCCAAUGACUCGGGCUCGGGCCACAAGCGAAAAGAUGGGAAGAAGAAGAAGACAAGACGCAUCAAGGAGAUCGUCUACUACGACAGCGAUGAGUCCUCUUCUUCCCAAAAGGACGACGACCACGACAAACAAAAGACGGUCAACUCAAACUUUUCUUUUGAUUAUUCACGCAUUCCACAUAGCUCAAAUGCUCAUUUGCUCCCCAUUCCACUUGGCAAGCCUCCUCACUUUGAUGGAGAGGACUACGGAUUUUGGAGUCACAAAAUGCGUACUCACCUAUUUUCUCUCCAUCCAAGCAUUUGGGAGAUUGUGGAAAGUGGAAUGAAAUUUGAUAGCUCGGAUAGCCCUUCAUUCAUUAAUGAGCAAAUCCAUAAGAAUGCACAAGCUACCACUGUUCUUCUAGCUUCAUUGUGCAGGGAUGAAUAUAACAAAGUAAGCGGCUUGGAUAACGCCAAGCAGAUCUGGGACACCCUCAAGAUUUCUCAUGAGGGGAAUGACGUUACCUUACUCACCAAAAUGGAGUUGGUGGAAGGCGAGCUUGGACGAUUCGCGAUGAUAAGGGGCGAGGAGCCAACUCAGACAUACAACCGGCUCAAGACCCUUAUCAACAAAAUAAGGAGCUACGGAAGCACGCGAUGGACGGACCACGACGUCGUCCGACUAAUGCUCAGGUCCUUUACCGUUCUUGAUCCUCAUUUGGUGAAUAAUAUUCGUGAGAAUCCCAGGUACACCAAAAUGUCGCCCGAAGAAGUCCUAGGAAAAUUCGUCAGCGGGCGAAUGAUGAUCAAGGAGGCAAGAUAUGUGGACGACGCCUUGAAUGGACCGAUCAACGAGCCGCAACCUUUUGCUCUCAAAGCCACAAGGAGCAAGGAAGCACUACCCAGCAAGGUGGCGCAAAUUGAGGCAGCCGGUCUUAAUGAUGAAGAAAUGGCCCUCAUCAUCAAGAGAUUCAAGACGGUGCUAAAGGGUCGCAAUGGACAGCCGAGCAAGACUAAGACCAAGGGGAAGCGAUCAUGCUUCAAAUGCGGUAAGCUUGGUCAUUUUAUUGCUAACUGUCCUGAUAAUGGAAGUGACCAGGAAAAGGGGAACAAAAGGGAGAAGAAGAAGCACUACAAGAAAGCCAAGGGCGAGGCGCAUCUAGGCAAGGAGUGGGAUUCGGAUUGCUCCUCCUCCGACUCCGACAAUGAGGGACUCGCCGCCACCGCCUUCAACAAAUCGGCCCUCUUCCCCAACGAGCGUCACACGUGUCUCAUGGCUAAGGAAAAGAAAGUAAGUACUCGAAACUCUACUUAUGCUUCUUCUAGUGAUAAUGAUUCUAGUGACGAUGAUGAAAUAGACUAUUCUAGUGUAUUUAAAGGUCUAGAUAGAAUUACAAUUGGCAAAAUUAAUGAAUUAAUUGAUGCAUUGAAUGAGAAGGAUAGACUCUUAGAGAAACAAGAGGAUUUAUUGUAUGAAGAGCAUGAUAAAUUUUUAGAAGCUCAAAAAUCUCAUGCUCUAGAAGUUAAAAGAAAUGAGAUGCUUACUUGUGAAUUAUCUUCAUGCCAUGAAACAAUUUCUAAAUUAAAGAGCAUUAACGAUGAGUUGAAUGUUAAGAUAGAAAUAGCUAGUAAAUCAACAACUUGUGUAGAAAAUGUUGCUAUUUGCAAUAGAUGUAAAGAAUUUGAUAUUGAUGCUUGUAAUGAACACAUAGCCUCUAUUGCAAAGUUAAAUAAUGAAGUGGCUAGUCUUAAUGUCCAACUUAAGACUAGCAAAAGUGAAUUUGAUAAGUUAAAAUUUGCAAGGGAUGCCUACACAAUAGGAAGACAUCCCUCAAUUAAGGAUGGGCUUGGCUUCAAGAGGGAAGCCAAGAACUUAACAAGCCAUAAGGAGCCCAUUCCCGCCAAGGAGAAAGGGAAGGCCCCUAUGGCUACUAGUGCUAAAAGGAACCAUGCAUUUUUGUAUCAUGAUAGAAGACAAACUAGAAAUGUAAGUCAUAAUGCUUUUGAUUCAUAUGUUUAUGAUUCUCAUGCCAUGUUUGCUCCUAGUUCCUCUUAUGUGUAUGAUAGAAAUGUUACUAGGAGAAAUGUUGUUACUAAAAGAAAUGCUAUUCAUCAUGUGCCUAGAAGGAAUGUUAUUCAUGCUCCUAGGAAAAUAGCAAAUAAACCUUCUACAAUUUAUUGUGCUUUGAAUGCUUCAUUUGCAAUUUGUAGAAAGGAUAGAAAAGUAAUUGCUAGGAAGUUAGGGGCAAAAUGCAAAGGUGAUGAAACUUGCAUUUGGGUCCCUAAGGAAAUUGUGACUAACCUUGUAGGACCCAACAAGAGUUGGGUACCUAAGUCCCAAGCCUAAUUUGCCUUGCAGGUUUAUGCAUCCGGGGGUUCAAGCUGGAUUAUUGAUAGCGGAUGCACAAACCAUAUGACGGGGAAGAAGAAGAUGUUCACCUCCUACGUCAAGAAUAAGGAUUCCCAAGAUUCAAUUAUAUUCGGUGAUGGGAAUCAAGGCAAGGUAAAAGGGUUAGGUAAAAUUGCGAUUUCUAAUGAGCAUUCUAUCUCUAAUGUAUUUUUAGUAGAAAGUCUUGGAUAUAAUUUGCUAUCUGUUAGUCAAUUAUGUCAUAUGGGGUAUAACUGUCUAUUUACAAAUGUAGAUGUGUCUGUCUUUAGAAGAAGUGAUGGUUCACUAGCUUUUAAGGGUGUAUUAGACGGCAAACUUUAUUUAGUAGAUUUUGCAAAAGAAGAGGCCGGUCUAGAUGCAUGCUUAAUAGCUAAGACUAGCAUGGGCUGGCUGUGGCAUCGCCGCUUAGCACAUGUGGGGAUGAAGAACCUUCACAAGCUUCUAAAGGGAGAACACGUGAUAGGUUUGACUAACGUGCAUUUCGAAAAGGAUAGACCUUGUGCAGCUUGUCAAGCAGGUAAACAAGUGGGAGGAGCGCAUCACAGCAAGAACGUGAUGACCACUUCAAGACCCCUGGAGCUGCUACAUAUGGACCUCUUCGGACCCGUCGCCUAUCUGAGCAUAGGAGGGAGUAAGUAUGGUCUAGUUAUUGUUGAUGAUUUUUCCCGCUUCACUUGGGUGUUCUUUUUGCAGGAUAAGUCUGAAACCCAAGGGACCCUCAAGCGCUUCCUCAGGAGAGCUCAAAAUGAGUUUGAGCUCAAGGUGAAGAAGAUAAGGAGCGACAACGGGUCCGAAUUCAAGAACCUUCAAGUGGAGGAAUUUCUUGAGGAGGAAGGGAUCAAGCACGAGUUCUCCGCUCCCUACACACCACAGCAAAAUGGUGUGGUAGAGAGGAAGAACAGGACGCUAAUCGAUAUGGCAAGGACAAUGCUUGGAGAAUUCAAGACCCCCGAGUGUUUCUGGUCGGAAGCCGUGAACACGGCUUGUCAUGCCAUCAACAGGGUCUACCUCCAUCGCCUCCUCAAGAAGACUUCGUAUGAGCUACUAACCGGUAACAAACCCAAUGUAUCUUACUUUCGUGUAUUUGGGAGCAAGUGCUACAUUCUAGUGAAGAAAGGUAGAAAUUCUAAGUUUGCUCCCAAAGCUGUAGAAGGGUUUUUGUUAGGUUAUGACUCAAAUACAAAGGCGUAUAGAGUCUUCAACAAAUCAUCGGGUUUGGUUGAAGUCUCUAGCGACGUUGUAUUUGAUGAGACUAAUGGCUCUCCAAGAGAGCAAGUUGUUGAUUGUGAUGAUGUAGAUGAAGAAGAUGUUCUGACGGCCGCCAUACGCACCAUGGCGAUUGGAGAAGUGCGGCCACAGGAACAAGAUGAGCAAGAUGUACCAUCUUCCUCAAUUAUGGUGCAUCCCCCGACUCAAGACGAUGAACAGGUUCAUCAAAAGGAGGCGUGUGAUCAAGGGGGAGCACAAGAUGAUCACGUGAUAGAGGAAGAAGCGCAACCGGCACCUCCAACCCAAGUUCGAGCGACGAUCCAAAGGGAUCAUCCCGUCGACCAAAUUCUGGGUGACAUUAGCAAGGGAGUAACUACUCGAUCUAGAUUAGUUAAUUUUUGUGAGCAUUACUCCUUUGUCUCUUCUAUUGAGCCUUUCAGGGUAGAGGAGGCCUUGCUAGAUCCGGACUGGGUGUUGGCCAUGCAGGAGGAGCUCAACAACUUCAAGCGCAAUGAAGUUUGGACACUGGUGCCUCGUCCGAAGCAAAAUGUUGUGGGAACCAAGUGGGUGUUUCGCAACAAACAGGACGAGCACGGGGUGGUGACGAGGAACAAGGCUCGACUUGUGGCAAAAGGUUAUGCCCAAGUCGCAGGUUUGGACUUUGAGGAGACUUUCGCUCCUGUGGCUAGGCUAGAGUCCAUUCGUAUCUUGCUAGCAUAUGCCGCUCACCAUUCUUUCAGGUUGUUCCAAAUGGAUGUGAAGAGCGCUUUCCUCAACGGGCCAAUCAAGGAGGAGGUGUACGUGGAGCAACCCCCUGGCUUCGAGGAUGAACGGUACCCCGACCACGUGUGUAAGCUUUCUAAGGCGCUCUAUGGGCUUAAGCAAGCCCCAAGAGCAUGGUAUGAAUGCCUUAGAGACUUUUUAAUUGCUAAUGCUUUCAAGGUUGGGAAAGCCGAUCCAACUCUUUUCACUAAGACAUGUGAUGGUGAUUUGUUUGUGUGCCAAAUUUAUGUCGAUGACAUAAUAUUUGGUUCUACUAACCAAAAGUCUUGUGAAGAGUUUAGCAGGGUGAUGACGCAGAAAUUCGAGAUGUCGAUGAUGGGCGAGUUGAACUACUUCCUCGGGUUCCAAGUGAAGCAACUCAAGGACGGCACCUUCAUCUCCCAAACGAAGUACACGCAAGAUCUGCUAAAGCGGUUUGGGAUGAAGGACGCCAAGCCCGCAAAGACUCCGAUGGGAACCGACGGACACACCGACCUCAACAAAGGAGGUAAGUCCGUUGAUCAAAAAGCAUACCGGUCAAUGAUAGGGUCAUUACUUUACUUAUGUGCUAGUAGACCGGAUAUUAUGCUUAGCGUAUGCAUGUGUGCUAGAUUUCAAUCCGAUCCUAAGGAAUGUCACUUAGUGGCAGUGAAGCGAAUUCUUAGAUAUUUGGUUGCUACACCUUGCUUCGGGCUCUGGUAUCCAAAGGGGUCUACCUUUGACUUAGUUGGAUACUCAGAUUCCGACUAUGCUGGAUGUAAGGUCGAUAGGAAGAGUACAUCGGGGACGUGCCAAUUCUUAGGAAGGUCCCUGGUGUCAUGGAAUUCUAAGAAACAAACUUCCGUUGCCCUAUCCACCGCUGAGGCCGAGUAUGUUGCCGCAGGACAGUGUUGCGCGCAACUACUUUGGAUGAGGCAAACCCUCAGGGACUUUGGCUACAAUCUGAGCAAAGUCCCACUCCUAUGUGAUAAUGAGAGUGCUAUCCGCAUGGCGGAAAAUCCUGUUGAACACAGCCGCACAAAGCACAUAGACAUCCGGCAUCACUUUUUGAGAGACCACCAGCAAAAGGGAGAUAUCGAAGUGUUUCAUGUUAGCACCGAGAACCAGCUAGCCGAUAUCUUUACCAAGCCUCUAGAUGAGAAGACCUUUUGCAGGCUGCGUAGUGAGCUAAAUGUCUUAGAUUCGCGGAACUUGGAUUGAAUUGUAGCAUACAUGUGCUUAUGCCUUUGAUCAUGUUCAUUCUGCAUUUUGUUGCUUAUUAUGGUGCUCAAGUUGUACAAACACUCCCUGGACCUCACAAGUCCGUUGCAAAGUGAUGAACAUGUUUAGGGGGAGAUGUGUUACAACUUGAUCCUUUGAGACUAACCAUAUGCUUGAGUUUGUUGUGAUUUAGUCUCAAAGGAGAAUUGAAAGGGAAAAGGUGGACUUGGAUCAUGCAAGACUUCCACUGCACUCCGAUGAGAGGGUAACUCAUUCCAAGUCCAUCUCAUGAACUCUUAUUGCCAUUUGCUCUUAAUUGAAAAUUUUGGUGAGGCAAUGGGGUUAUAGGGCCAAGAUUGAUCCCGUUUUGGUGCUUGAUGCCAAAGGGGGAGAAAAUAAAGGCCAAAAGCAAUAAAUGGAUCAGCUACCACUUGAGAGAUUUUGAAAAUAAUAGAAUAGAGUUUUUGUUUUGUCAAACGCUUUUAUUGUCUAUUGUUGUCUCUCUUGUCAAAAGUUGGCUUCUUGUGGGGAGAAGUAUUGAUUAUGGGAAAUAGGGGGAGUUUUUGAAAUCUUUGAUCAAUCUCUUUUGGAAUGACUCUCUUUAUGCUUCAACAUGUGUGUUUGACUUAGAGAUAGAGAUUUGAGUUUGAUUUGCAAAAACAAACCAAGUGGUGGCAAAGGAUGAUCCAAAUAUGCCAAAGAUGAAUCAAAAUAAAUUUGAGGUUUAUUUGAAGUGAUUUUGCACUUGUUCUAGUUGCUUUGUGUUGUGUUGGCAUAAAUCACCAAAAAGGGGGAGAUUGAAAGGGAAAUGUGCCCUUGGGCCAUUUCUAAGUAUUUUGGUGAUUGAGUGCAAACACAAGUGCUUAAUUGUGAAUCUAUGCCCAUGGAUGGACAAGUUGCAAAUCACAAGUAAAGGUAUGUUUCUAAGACUUAGUACAUUGGUUUUGUGUACUAAUAUAUUUGCCUAAGUGUUAGAAACAGGAAGAAGAAGAAAAGAAAGAAGUGGAGAGUGGCUGUGUACAGCCAAAGGCUGUUUCGGGCUGGGGCACCGGACUGUCCGGUGUGCACCGGAUAGUGUCCGGUGCGCCAGACCAGCGCGGAGCAAACCAGCCGCUCUCGGGUUUUUCUCCGGCGACUUCGGCUAAAAUUCACCGGACUGUCCGGUGUGCACCGGACUGUCCGGUGAGCCAACGGUCGGCCGGGCCAACGGUCGGCCGCGCGAUCGGCGCGCGACACGUGGCCGAGCCAACGGUCGGAAAGAUACACCGGACUGUCCGGUGUGCACCGGACAUGUCCGGUGCGCCAACGGCGCCCAGAUCUGACUCUGACAGCAACGGUCGGAUGCGCUGUUUAAGGAAACAAAUCGGGCACCGGACAGUGUCCGGUGUGCACCGGACUGUCCGGUGCGCCCGACGACAGAAGGCAAGGAUAGCCUUCCAGAUGUGUUCUCAACGGCUCCUAGCUGCCUUGGGGCUAUAAAAGGGACCCCUAGGCGCAUGGAGGAGGACACCAAGCAUUCCUUGAGCACUCUUGAUCACUCACACAUCAAUCUUGCGCACUUGUUCGACAUUCUAGUGAUUUGAGCUCCGUUCUAGUGUGCUAGUCUCUUGAGCUCAAGUCUGGGUCUUGUGUGUGCGUAUUCGCUGUGAUCUUUGUGUUGUGUGUGAGUUGCUAAUCCCUCCCUUACUCCGUGAUUCUCUGUGAACAUCUUUUGUAAGGGCGAGAGGCUCCAAGUUGUGGAGAUUCCUCGCAAACGGGAUUGAGAAAAGAAAAGCAAGAACACCAUGGUAUCCAAGUUGAUCAUUGGAUCACUUGAGAGGAGUUGAGUGCAACUCUCGUCCGUUGGGACGCCACAACGUGGAGUAGGCAAGUUUUGUACUUGGCCGAACCACGGGAUAACCACCGUGUCAUCUCUGUGAUUGAUUUCUUGUGGUUAUUGUGUUUUGACUCCUCUCUAGCCACUUGGCCAUAAUUGUGCUAACACUUAACAAGUUUUGUGGCUUAAGUUUUGAAGUUUUGCAGGAUCACCUAUUCACCCCCCCCUCUAGGUGCUCUCACUAAGUAGCCUGUGAGGUAGGUCAUGUUGUUUGUUCACGGACGAGUUAGUCUGUCGUUCUUAAUUUAGUGCAGAGUGCAAUAAGUUAAAAUAUGUUUUAUAGGGGUAGAGUCUCAUUUAUUUUAUCACUAUCAACUGGUUAAGUGAUUGACCUUAGGUUAGCUCAACUUAAGGUUAGACUUUGUUAGGUUAGAUUAAUCCAUCACAUUAGAUCAGAUCUAAGUUAGAUUGUUAUGACUAGAUAAGAUCUCAUUAAUUUGGAUUAGAUCAUGGUUGUUACUUUAGGAUGAGAUAAGCAAAGUUGUUAGGAUAAGACGAAUAUGUCAAGGUGAGAUGAAUCUAUUGAGAUAAGAGAGAAUCUUUUAAGCCAAGAUGGAUCUAUUUAAAAAUAGAUACACUUUAAUGAAGGAUAAUCUAGGUUGUUUAGUUAUCUUAUGAAUUUUAUUUAUUUAUAUUUAUGCCUAUAUGUAUAUGCAGAUGUAAUUGUGGACAUUACUCCACAACUUAUCACACUCAAUCAAAGAUCCAAAUCAGGCAAGUAUCAUAAGAACAAACAUUCAAGUGCAUAGAUAAAAAAAUAGUUUUGUUUUUGUUCCUAAGAUCAGGUCUCCUAUUCCUAAAAGUCACUUUAGGUACAUGAUUUCAAAGUGUGAAAUCCACAUUUGUCUUUAGAAUGAAAAGGUAAGAAUAAUCAGAGUAAAGCGGAAUUAGAUGAGAAAAGAUUAAGAAAAGUUUAGAAAGAAUCAGAGUAGCAGAGGUAAGUAUAUAAGGGUCAUCCAGUUCUAUCUAGGUUUCGUCCUACAGCCAACAUCCCUCUGAUACCACUUCUGUCACACCCGGAUUUCGGGGCACCAAGACCCGGGCGCGAACAUAAUCACCAGGUGUGCUGGGACCAAGUCUCACACAUAUGAUGAAUCAUGGCACAGGAUCGAAUGUCACAUCUUUACUAUAUAAUCAAAGUUUUAUACAAAAUAAAUAAAUAUUUACAUUAUAAGGAGACAACGGUCCAGCAACCCAAAGUUGACUGGGAGACGACGACCUAGACCACUCGCGAACUCAUCACAGCAUCCUCCAUGCGCCUCAUCUCGUGAUACCUGUUCUUGACAUGUGGGGGGUGUGAGACAGCAAGAGUGAGCUCACAUACGUUCAUCGCUCAACAAGUUGUGGGGAAUAAUGUGCAUGAACUCGCCAAAGGUGGGAGCUCAUGUGAAGUGUAAGGCUUACCAAAGAGGAUGGUUAGAGCUGAGCAUUGCUUUUAAAGUUGGUCAAAAUUUUAUUAGCAGUUACUAAGUAUAAGUAAAUACCAGCCCAAUUAAGUAGUAGAACAAAAGUAACAACCUCACCUGCGAUGCAAUGCAUAUGACAAAUUGAGUUUAAGUUCCAUAAUUUAAUCAUGUGAGUGUCCGAGCUGCUCUUGACCGUGAGCACGGCUAGUAUACCAGUUUUACACUCUGCAGAGGUUGCGCAUCUUUACCCACAAGUCAUGUACCCAUCUGCCAAGAGACGACCAAUCCCAUACACCUCUACCGAGGAGGCGAGGCAGGGUAACACUACGAGGCCUUUACAAAGUUCCACUAGCUUCAGAAAACCCGCUACAGUUUAUAGGAAGCUCCAAUGCAGGAAUCCCUCGCAUGACCGCCAUCGCAGCAAAAUCAUCCCAAGGGCCUCCCUACACUGACCACUCCCCUACUGCCCUUGCCCCUUUCGGGUAAGGUAGUCUUCCACUAGCUUUUCUAGUUAAUUGGCCAAGGGCGUCCAUAAACCCUUGUGGUAGCACUGUUUUUCCGGGUGGUUCUCCAUGUUCCAAUUAACAUAAUGAUCUUAACAUGAACAAUAAAUAACAACUGAUAACAAAAGUAUAAUCAUGAAUAGUGUAAUCUUCAUACCCAAAACCACAUAAAGUAAUAGCAGGUACUACCCAAAAAGUUUAGUGGAGUCAAGGUAUAAAGAUAACCAAACUAGGGUAACCUGUUGGGUCCCAUCAAAAUUAACCUAUGCAGAUCAUUAUGAUUAAUCAGAACAUGACUAGGUAAAAAGAAGUGAUCAAGGGCACAACUUGCCUAGGACUUGAGAUUCUAGGUACCAGGAUGAUCUUCAGAUGACACGUGUCCUCACUGCUAAACGUAGCUAUACAGACAUACAUGGUAUAUGCAAAAUUAACAUUACACCAAACAUAUAUGCAAAAUACAUAUUAAUAAUCUACAUAUUGAAAUAAGAUCACAGGAACAGGGAUUGUUAAUUUUUGAGUUAUAGAUUUUAAGUUAUGGAUUUCCAAAGAUUUUAUGUGUUUUGUACAAGAUUAAAUAGGAUGUAAAAUUUAAUGUGAAUUUCAUGUCAAAACAGAGGUACUAUGUGAUAAACAAUAAUAUUAUAGAAUUAUGGAAACUGGAAUGGGUAAAUUUGGACUUCAUAUGAAUUUUAUAGGAAUUAAACAAAUUCUAGCAUUUAUUUUCACAUUAAAAAUCAUUUUCUAAUCACUUUUACUGAAUUUUAUAAUUCUCUGGACUGGGCACAAGAUAACCAGAGACCACAGGGGUUAUUCUACAAAAGUUUCCGAGACUCUAAUCUCCCUGCCGAUGGACUGCGGGUUCAUUACCUAAAAUCCUGAGGGUUCUUAUGUGAAAUGCGACGGUGAAGGGGUAUCACGGAUUCUAAACCAUCCGAUCUAAACCAAGGGCCCAGAUUAAAUAGAUCUCACCCGAAUCGGUAAGGCAUAGCAGUCGCCGGAUCUAAUUUCAACCGUCGAGAUUUAAUGAACCGGGAUCACCCUGCGUCCGCACGAUCUGAGAUCGACGUGUGUCAUUACUCCCGGCAAGGGUUACGCGAUAACCGAUCCGAUCCGCACGAUCGCGAUCCAACGUCUGUCACUUGCACUACUCUCCGUCUAAUCACGACCGAUCAUCACGACAUCCACGGUCCCGACACCUUCUUCCUCCUAGGAACGUACUGACCACGGCCAGGAAUGCCCAUGGCGCGCAAUGGCAGGUGCCGCACAACACCCGGAGACUACCAGGCUUUAGAUCACGGUUUCUAUGCGUCUAGACAACAUGAGGGAGUUGAACAGAGGGCUUUUUUUGUUACCAGGGCACAAACGGAGAUUUCUGGGUCGCAAUGGAGGCAACAAGCACCGUCAACGAAGCGCCUGUGAGAGACUCCACGGCGCCUAGGUCCACCCUGUACGCGCGAUGGCACCAACUUGGUUCCCGGCGUGCCCAGGAGGAUGCCCAGACCGUGGACGAGGUCUGUGAGACGGCUGCCAGGAACCCAACACGGCGGGCAAUGGAUUUGCGGCGGUGCCGGAGUAGUAGAAUUCGCACGCAUGCCCGAAUCGAUGAGCCCCGCACUGAGGGUCCUGAUUUUCUUGACGCCCGAGAGGCGCCUGGCCUUGGUCGGCGCGGCCGGGAAGCGGCGCACCGUGACGGCGGGCGGGGCAGCGUGCAGAGCAGACGCUUGUGUGCGAGCCGAGGUGGCUAUGGCGGCGCAAGAAGGGAGGUAGUAAGAGAGAUAUCAGGCUUGACUUUUAUGCACCAUGGUGGAGUCCGCGUGGGGAAAAUCGUCUAGUGGAUCUCCCCGAAACACGGAGCGGUCACAGCGCGCGGUCAGUCAAAAUCGCGGUGUUUGUUACGGUGCCCGGUUUCUGAUCCACGAAGAGGAUGGAGCUGACACAAGAGGCCCACAUGGCAGCGGUUCUGGGAAAAUAAAAAAAGAAAAGAUAGAGGAGUAGUGGGCUGCGCGGGUAAGGAGUUGGGCCGCCAGUGUGGUUUUCCCAUGGGCCGAGGAGAGGAAGUGAGAGUGGGCCGACCAGGACAAUUCGGCCCAUGUGGCAGGUGGUUUUCCACCUUUUAUUUUCCUAUUUCCUUUUCUAUUUUAGUUUUUUACUUUCCAAUUCAAUUUGAAUAUAGGUUUUGGAAUUUCAGAUUUUCAAAUAGCUAAUACCAUCCUACCCCCUUAAGUUUAUUAUUCUCCCUAUUAUUUAAUUAUGGAAGUAAUAAUUGAUUUCCUUUCUCAUUUUCUGUUUUAUUUUCAUUUAUAAUUUGAGAUCAAGUUUAAGUUACGAUUUCUUUAUUUCAUCAAAAUGCCUCACAACAAAAUCAUGAGCAUGAGAUGCACAUUUCCUAGCUUUUACUCUCUUAAUUAAUUAUGAUAGUGGAAGGAAAUAAAAAUAUUCUAAAGGUUUCAAACAUUCUCAAAACCCCCUUAUAAAUAUAUUUUAUUUAUCUACUUUAUUAUUAUAUUUUUUUCUUCUACCAAUAUUUGGGCAUUACAAAUCCCACCCCCUUAAAAUAAUCUCGUCCUCGAGAUUUGCAAGAAAAGGGAUACAAUAGGUUUGGUUUAGAAUUUUAGUUUCUCAUUGGGUUUUGGAAAUCAAAGUUUUGUUCAAGUUUUUUUUCAUAAUAGUUAGUAGACGAUUUGGAAUAUAUGGAUAUUGUAUGUCUAUCCAUCUAUUAUGUCACAUGAGGCACAAUUAUGGCAAGGGUAUAAUAAGGACAGACUUCAUCCAAAACUGUGGAUCUUGAUUCCGCUGGCGAUUCAACUUGAUCUUUGAAGACUUGAGUUGAUGCAUAUCCUUCUUUGACGUGGUUGGUCUUCAUUGGCCUUUCUUCUUGGAGUUGCCAUCCGAGUUAAGUACAUAUAGUUAGGAUAGCUGGGGUACACGAGGUAGGUAGGUUUGAACAAAGCUUUACUUUGCUUUUAGGACAAAUGGACUAAGUAGCCUGUGAGGUAGGUCAUGUUGUUUGUUCACGGACGAGUUAGUCUGUCGUUCUUAAUUUAGUGCAGAGUGCAAUAAGUUAAAAUAUGUUUUAUAGGGGUAGAGUCUCAUUUAUUUUAUCACUAUCAACUGGUUAAGUGAUUGACCUUAGGUUAGCUCAACUUAAGGUUAGACUUUGUUAGGUUAGAUUAAUCCAUCACAUUAGAUCAGAUCUAAGUUAGAUUGUUAUGACUAGAUAAGAUCUCAUUAAUUUGGAUUAGAUCAUGGUUGUUACUUUAGGAUGAGAUAAGCAAAGUUGUUAGGAUAAGACGAAUAUGUCAAGGUGAGAUGAAUCUAUUGAGAUAAGAGAGAAUCUUUUAAGCCAAGAUGGAUCUAUUUAAAAAUAGAUACACUUUAAUGAAGGAUAAUCUAGGUUGUUUAGUUAUCUUAUGAAUUUUAUUUAUUUAUAUUUAUGCCUAUAUGUAUAUGCAGAUGUAAUUGUGGACAUUACUCCACAACUUAUCACACUCAAUCAAAGAUCCAAAUCAGGCAAGUAUCAUAAGAACAAACAUUCAAGUGCAUAGAUAAAAAAAUAGUUUUGUUUUUGUUCCUAAGAUCAGGUCUCCUAUUCCUAAAAGUCACUUUAGGUACAUGAUUUCAAAGUGUGAAAUCCACAUUUGUCUUUAGAAUGAAAAGGUAAGAAUAAUCAGAGUAAAGCGGAAUUAGAUGAGAAAAGAUUAAGAAAAGUUUAGAAAGAAUCAGAGUAGCAGAGGUAAGUAUAUAAGGGUCAUCCAGUUCUAUCUAGGUUUCGUCCUACAGCCAACAUCCCUCUGAUACCACUUCUGUCACACCCGGAUUUUGGGGCACCAAGACCCGGGCGCGAACAUAAUCACCAGGUGUGCUGGGACCAAGUCUCACACAUAUGAUGAAUCAUGGCACAUGAUCGAAUGUCACAUCUUUACUAUAUAAUCAAAGUUUUAUACAAAAUAAAUAAAUAUUUACAUUAUAAGGAGACAACGGUCCAGCAACCCAAAGUUGACUGGGAGACGACGACCUAGACCACUCGCGAACUCAUCACAGCAUCCUCCAUGCGCCUCAUCUCGUGAUACCUGUUCUUGACAUGUGGGGGGUGUGAGACAGCAAGAGUGAGCUCACAUACGUUCAUCGCUCAACAAGUUGUGGGGAAUAAUGUGCAUGAACUCGCCAAAGGUGGGAGCUCAUGUGAAGUGUAAGGCUUACCAAAGAGGAUGGUUAGAGCUGAACAUUGCUUUUAAAGUUGGUCAAAAUUUUAUUAGCAGUUACUAAGUAUAAGUAAAUACCAGCCCAAUUAAGUAGUAGAACAAAAGUAACAACCUCACCUGCGAUGCAAUGCAUAUGACAAAUUGAGUUUAAGUUCCAUAAUUUAAUCAUGUGAGUGUCCGAGCUGCUCUUGACCGUGAGCACGGCUAGUAUACCAGUUUUACACUCUGCAGAGGUUGCGCAUCUUUACCCACAAGUCAUGUACCCAUCUGCCAAGAGACGACCAAUCCCAUACACCUCUACCGAGGAGGCGAGGCAGGGUAACACUACGAGGCCUUUACAAAGUUCCACUAGCUUCAGAAAACCCGCUACAGUUUAUAGGAAGCUCCAAUGUAGGAAUCCCUCGCAUGACCGCCAUCACAGCAAAAUCAUCCCAAGGGCCUCCCUACACUGACCACUCCCCUACUGCCCUUGCCCCUUUCGGGUAAGGUAGUCUUCCACUAGCUUUUCUAGUUAAUUGGCCAAGGGCGUCCAUAAACCCUUGUGGUAGCACUGUUUUUCCGGGUGGUUCUCCAUGUUCCAAUUAACAUAAUGAUCUUAACAUGAACAAUAAAUAACAACUGAUAACAAAAGUAUAAUCAUGAAUAGUGUAAUCUUCAUACCCAAAACCACAUAAAGUAAUAGCAGGUACUACCCAAAAAGUUUAGUGGAGUCAAGGUAUAAAGAUAACCAAACUAGGGUAACCUAUUGGGUCCCAUCAAAAUUAACCUAUGCAGAUCAUUAUGAUUAAUCAGAACAUGACUGGGUAAAAAGAAGUGAUCAAGGGCACAACUUGCCUAGGACUUGAGAUUCCAGGUACCAGGAUGAUCUUCAGAUGACACGUGUCCUCACUGCUAAACGUAGCUAUACAGACAUACAUGGUAUAUCCAAAAUUAACAUUACACCAAACAUAUAUGCAAAAUACAUAUUAAUAAUCUACAUAUUGAAAUAAGAUCACAGGAACAGGGAUUGUUAAUUUUUGAGUUAUAGAUUUUAAGUUAUGGAUUUUCUAAAGAUUCUAUGUGUUUUGUACAAGAUUAAAUAGGAUGUAAAAUUUAAUGUGAAUUUCAUGUCAAAACAGAGGUACUAUGUGAUAAACAAUAAUAUUAUAGAAUUAUGGAAACUGGAAUGGGUAAAUUUGGACUUCAUAUGAAUUUUAUAGGAAUUAAACAAAUUCUAGCAUUUAUUUUCACAUUAAAAAUCAUUUUCUAAUCACUUUUACUGAAUUUUAUAAUUCUCUGGACUGGGCACAAGAUAACCAGAGACCACAGGGGUUAUUCUACAAAAGUUUCCGAGACUCUAAUCUCCCUGCCGAUGGACUGCGGGUUCAUUACCUAAAAUCCCGAGGGUUCUUAUGUGAAAUGCGACGGUGAAGGGGUAUCGCGGAUUCUAAACCAUCCGAUCUAAACCAAGGGCCCAGAUUAAAUAGAUCUCACCCGAAUCGGUAAGGCAUAGCAGUCGCCGGAUCUAAUUUCAACCGUCGAGAUUUAAUGAACCGGGAUCACCCUGCGUCCGCACGAUCUGAGAUCGACGUCUGUCAUUACUCCCGGCAAGGGUUACGCGAUAACCGAUCCGAUCCGCACGAUCGCGAUCCAACGACUGUCACUUGCACUACUCUCCGUCUAAUCACGAUCGAUCAUCACGACAUCCACGGUCCCGACACCUUCUUCCUCCUAGGAACGUACCGACCACGGCCAGGAAUGCCCAUGGCGCGCAAUGGCAGGUGCCGCACGACACCCGGAGACUACCAGGCUUCAAAUCACGGUUUCUAUGCGUCUAGACAACAUGAGGGAGUUGAACAGAGGGCUUUUUUUGUUACCAGGGCACGAACGGAGAUUUCCGGGUCGCAAUGGAGGCAACAAGCACCGUCAACGAAGCGCCUGUGAGAGACUCCACGACGCCUAGGUCCACCCUGUACGCGCGAUGGCACCAACUUGGUUCCCGGCGUGCCCAGGAGGAUGCCCAGACCGUGGACAAGGCCUGUGAGACGGAUGCCAGGAACCCAACACGGCGGGCAAUGGAUUUGCGGCGGUGCCGGAGUAGUAGAAUUCGCACGCAUGCCCGAAUCGAUGAGCCCCGCACUGAGGGUCCUGAUUUUCUUGACGCCCGAGAGGCGCCUGGCCUUGGUCGGCGCGGCCGGGAAGCGGCGCACCGUGACGGCGGGCGGGGCAGCGUGCAGAGCAGACGCUUGUGUGCGAGCCGAGGUGGCUAUGGCGGCGCAAGAAGGGAGGUAGUAAGAGAGAUAUCAGGCUUGACUUUUAUGCACCAUGGUGGAGUCCACGUGGGGAAAAUCGUCUAGUGGAUCUCCCCGAAACACGGAGCGGUCGCAGCGCGCGGUCAGUCAAAAUCGCGGCGUUUGUUACGGUGCCCGGUUUCUGAUCCACGAAGAGGAUGGAGCUGACACAAGAGGCCCACAUGGCAGCGGUUCUGGGAAAAUAAAAAAAAAGAAAAGGUAGAGGAGUAGUGGGCUGCGCGGGUAAGGAGUUGGGCCGCCAGUGUGGUUUUCCCAUGGGCCGAGGAGAGGAAGUGAGAGUGGGCCGACCAGAACAAUUCGGCCCAUGUGGCAGGUGGUUUUCCACCUUUUAUUUUCCUAUUUCCUUUUCUAUUUUAGUUUUCUACUUUCCAAUUCAAUUUGAAUCUAGGUUUUGGAAUUUCAGAUUUUCAAAUAGCUAAUACCAUCCUACCCCCUUAAGUUUAUUAUUCUCCCUAUUAUUUAAUUAUGGAAGUAAUAAUUGAUUUCCUUUCUCAUUUUCUGUUUUAUUUUCAUUUAUAAUUUGAGAUCAAGUUUAAGUUACGAUUUCUUUAUUUCAUCAAAAUGCGUCACAACAAAAUCAUGAGCAUGAGAUGCACAUUUCCUAGCUUUUACUCUCUUAAUUAAUUAUGAUAGUGGAAGGAAAUAAAAAUAUUCUAAAGGUUUCAAACAUUCUCAAAACCCCCUUAUAAAUAUAUUUAUUUAUCUACUUUAUUAUUAUAUUUUUUUCUUCUACCAAUAUUUGGGCAUUACAUCCUACGCCUCCGGGAUACGAAUACAUUACUUGUCACCUUCCGCACAGGGCAACUCACACUUGGUUAAGCGGUUCGGCUAGCCGACAGGCGAGUCCUAGUGCUCGAAAUGAGGAAAAAAACACGGUAUUGCUCUCAAAUACCUCGAUGUUCAGGCCCCGAUAGCCACAAUGAACAGACACCGGCACUCAAGGUGCCAUUACAAACGGAACUCCGGUUCCACUCUCGCAGGUACGAACAACCCCCCACAUUGGAGGGCCUGCGGGAUGACAAAAUCCCAAGUGGCUCGCCGCCGCCCACUCCGGCUCAGCUCGCCCUCCGCCCCAGCAAGGAUGAUGAAGAUCCUUGAAGCUGAGGACGGGGCAGAGGUCGCAGCCCAGUUUGCUUCUCCCCACCAUCAAACUGGUGGUCACCGUCUUAGGUGACCAUCGGCGAGGGGAUGCAGCCGGGCUGCCUGAUGAAAAUCCUUGAAGCCGAGCGAUGGCUGAAAGGUACCAACUUCCGCGAAGUUGCGCUCCUCCAACGACAGCAAGACGAAAGCAACGCGGGCGCCCUCCAUCCGGGGGCUCGGAAGGUGGAAGGGCGCAAUGCAUGAGGGGAGUGCGAAGGCAUGGCUGCCAUCCAAGGGGGUCGCCCCCUUUUUAAAGGCGACUCUCCCCACUUGUGUUCUCAGCCGUCGCGGACUGAGUCUUCACCAACACGCUCCAAGGUCCUCCCCCUACGACACGGGGGCUGGGUCCCACACGUCAUGCAAGCUGGCCCAGGACAGAAGAAGCCAAACCGCCACGCACGAAGCGUGUAACUGCCCAGCGGUUACGAGCGCUCCUCCAUCUUCGCCUAAACCAGCGGGCGAAAAGGCGGACCGCCAUGCAGGCGGCAUGCAACUGCACCAAGGGGAUGCACCUUUUCGACUUCGACGCGUCCAGCAUGGAGGCCCAGGCCCACACGUCAUGUAACCAGCGCGCCGGUUACUACGUGCGAGAAACUGCACCGCCACUUGCGCCAGUACCGCACAUUCUCGACUACGGAACCGGUGCUGCGACUCGAGGCAACCCUGCGCAUGGCCCAACAGUGCCAACCGAGCACAUCGGUCACGGGUCAGUCCGCCGUGGGAGAAGGCGCGACGGUCGAUAUGGCCAAAAGUGGGCCGACAGUAAUGGCGGCGGUAGGCGGGCGGAAGCAGCACUCAAAUCAUCUGCAGGCUCACGUCCCCUCCUGGAGCAGCAGGAGAGCCCUCUCCCACGGCGUGAAGACGAUGCGCCCGUGUUCCAUUCCUCGAACGGCUCGCGCACGCACAACAGCUGCCCCGCCAACCACUCGUCCCGUCGCAUUAACUCUACGGCAGGGCAAGCGACACCUUUGGCAGGCGAAGCGGGCGACGCUUCACCUCCGCCAUGAUGGCCGCGUAAAAAAAGGUACGCCACGUCGUUCAAUUUCGUAUCCUUUUCCUCUUCCCCUUUCUCUCUCUUGCUACAGGGACCGGGAAAGGGGAUACUCCGAAAGGGAUCCUUCUCCGCGAAGGAAGCGGCCCCGAGCCCUCCUACUGAUCAGAGGUUCGAAGGCUGGCCCCCCAGAAGGGUUCGACGGCCGCCUCAGAGCACUCAGGCUCCGCGCCCACUACUGGUCAGGGGUUCGAAGGCUGGCCCCUCGGAAGGGUUCGACAGCUGCCUCAGGCCACUCGGGCUCCGUGCCCACUACUGAUCAGGGGUUCGUAGGCUGGCCCCCGAAGGGUUCGACAGUCGCCUCAGAGCACGCAGAGCGAGGGAUGACUCUGGGUACGUCCGAUACAUGGCCGAGGCUCGGGCUACGCUCCCGAGGUACCCUAGGACAUUUCCGAGACCAGCAGGAGCGAUUCUAUAAUGGAAUCCCACCAGAGGGAGGCAUCGAGCCCUCAGACCCUAUCAAACGGGACCGGGUCCGGCAAAUCACCUGCAGGUACUUUUGGAGCGCGCCUCUGGGCCACUAGCCGACCCUUAUCGAAUGGGGCACGGGCGUCCACUCGGAUCACCCGUUAGCAACUCACUGGAGACACCAUGUUCGGCGCCCUCCGAGGGCAACAUAGCGCUUUCCCCCCUCCUCCUUGCGGAAAGGCGACGAAGGGGUGUAUGAUAAAAGCCGAGUCAGUCCUUGACCGUCCUCUCGCUCUGUGCGGAGGCUCGGGGGCUGCUCUCGCAAACCCGGCUCCGGCCAAACCGUUGACAGCGUCAACAUACCAGCCCGAGAACUCGGAACCUGACUAUGCACCCGGGCAACGAACAGUUCGCAUGAGGGAACAACCAGACCGGCCGAGGCGUCACGAAAAGCGCUAAGACCUCGGAGGAGUCCAACCACUCCUCCGAGGCCUCGUGGGCUACACCCGGCGGUUGCGCUCGCGCACACCCACCGGAACGAAAUACAACUGAGAAAGGUCGGUCCCCUUGCAAAAAAGUGCGACAAAAGCCUCCAAGCGAGUACCAACACUCCCUUCGAGGCUUGGGGGCUACUGUCGAGGACCAUAAUUAGGGGUACCCCCAAGACUCCUAAUCUCAGCUGGUAACCCCCAUCAGCACAAAGCUGCAAAGGCCUGAUGGGCGCAAUUCAGGUCAAGGCUCCGUCCCCUCAAGGGACACGAUCUCGCCUCGCCUGAGCCCAGCCUCGGGCAAAGACAGCCGACCCAGGAGGAUUCACGUCUCGCCCGAGGGCCCCCUCAAGCAACGGGCGCACCUCCGACUCGCCCGAGGCCCAACUCGGGCAGGCUUCGCGGAGAAGCAACCUUGGCCAAGACCGCCUCGCCAGCCGACCGGAUCGCAGGAGCAUUCAAUGCAAGGAUCGCCUGACACCUUAUCCUGACGCACGCUCUUCAGUCGACAGAGCCGAAGUGACCGCAGUCACUUCGCCCUUCCACUGGCUGACCUGACAAGAAAACAACGCCGCCUGCGCCGCUUCGACUGCUAUGCCACCCGUCAGGGUGAGGCUGACAGCCGUCAAGUCUGGCCUCAGGCGCCAUAGGAAGCUCCGCCUCGCCUAACCCUAGGGCUCGGACUCAACCUCGACCUCGGACGACGGACUCCGCCUCGCCCGACCCCAGGGCUCGGACUCAACCUCGACCUCAGACGACGGACUCCGCCUCGCCCGACCCCAGGGCUCGGACUCAACCUCGACCUCGGACGACGGACUCCGCCUCGCCCGACCCCAGGGCUUGGACUCAACCUCGACCUCGGACGACGGUCUCCGUCUCGCCCGACCCCAGGGAUCAGACUCAACCUCGACCUCGGACGAUGGACUCCGCCUCGCCCGACCCCAGGGCUCGGACUCAACCUCGACCUCGGACAACGGUCUCCGCCUCGCCCGACCCUAGGGCUCAGACUCAACCUCGACCUCGGACGACGGUCUCCGCCUCGCCCGACCCCAGGGUUCGGACUCAACCUCGACCUCGGACGACGGUCUCCGCCUCGCCCGACCCCAGGGCUCGGACUCAGCCUCGACCUCGGAGGAGCCUCCGCCUCGCCCGACCUUGGGCUCGGACCGACCACGUCGCAGGGGGGGCCAUCAUUACCCUACCCCUAGCUAGCUCAGGCUACGGGGAACAAGACCGGCGUCCCAUCUAGCUCGCCCCGGUAAACAAGUAAUGAUGGCACCCAGCGUGCGCCAUGACGACGAUGGUUCUCAGCCCCCUACGGAAGCAAGGAGACAUCAGCAAGGACCCGACAGCUGUGCUUCUACAGGGCUCAAGUGCUCCUCCGACGGCCACGACAUCACAUGAACAGGGCGCCAAAACCUCUCCGACAGCCACGUCGGCAUGUACAUAGGACUCUGGCUUCCCUCUGCUAGACACGUUAGCACAUUGCUACACCCCCAUUGUACAGCUGGGCCUUCUCCUUACAACUAUAAAAGGAAGGUCCAGGGCCCUCGUACGAGAAGGUGGCCGUGCGGGAGAACGGGCCGACGCAUAAGGCUCUCGCUCUCUCUCUCCCUCGCGAACGCUUGUAACCCCCUACUGCAAGCGCAUCCGCCCUGGGCGCAGGACAACACGAGGCCGCGAUUCCCCUUAUUGUUUCCCCCUUGUGCUCCGUCUCGCGCCGACCCAUCUGGGUUGGGACAUGUAGCGACAAUUUACUCGUCGGUCUAGGGACCCCCCGGGUCGAAACGCCGACAAUAUGCAAUUAGACAUGCUAGUUGAAAGCAAAAUGCUCUACUCAAGAAUAAAAACACUACUAGUAGGAGCACAAGGUGGAAUAGGAGAAGUACCGAGGUAGCCAUGGAGAUUGAAGGAUUUGUUGGAGGUAGCUAGAUGAAACUUGAGGCGGCAAAUCCCAAAACAACUUUUGGUUCUUCACAACCUCUAGGUUAGAACCUGCUUCAACAAAAACAUAUUGCCAUGAAGUGCAAAAUAGAACCAUUGGGUUCCUUUCCCUUCCAGCAUAGAGUCAAACAAAAUAAGCACAUCCAGGCAUAGAAACCAGUCAGGAUGACAGUUAAAAAAACAAAUACUUAAAACUUAAUACUUUUGCAGUUCUCAGGUCUUUGUACCAUUCCAAUUUGUCUUAUCUAAACAACAAGUCAGGCUAAUGUCUGAAACUAGUAUCUAACAGUUGUCUGUCCACCAAGGAAUUGUGCAACGCGCAUAAAUUAAUAAUGACUGGACAUACUGAACGAGUAGGGAUUAUACCAAAGGCAUUAAAAUAAGGAAGUCAGGAACUAGACUAAAAAUUUGUAGGAGUAUUAACAAAGAAUUUGGGAGUUUGGGGCCAAUAAAGAAUAUGGCUACAUACUGUCGGGGACCAUAAUUAGGGGUACCCUCAAGAUGCCUAAUUCUCAGCUGGUAACCCCCAUCAGCAUAAAGCUGCAAAGGCCUGAUGGGUACGAUUAAGUCAGGGAUCAGUCCACACGAGUGACUCGAUCACGCUUCACCCGAGCCUAGCCUCGGCCAAGGGCAACCGACCUCGAGAGACUUCCGUCUCGCCCGAGGCCCCCCUUUUUACGGCGGACACACCUCCGGCUCGCCCGAGGCCUUGGCUUCGCUCAGAAGCAACCCUGACUAAAUCGCCACACCGACUGACCAAGUUGCAGGAGCAUUUAACGCAAAGGUGGCCUGACACCUUUAUCCUGACACGCGCCCCCCGGCAGAGCCGAAGUGACCGCCGUCACUCCACCGCUCCACUGACCAGUCUGACAGAAGGACAGCGCCGCCUGCGCCACUCCGACUGCAGUGCCACUCGAUAGAGUGAGUCUGACAGGCAGUCAGGCCUUGCCAAAGGCGCCAUAGCGAACUCUGCUCCGCCCGACCCUAGGGCUCGGACUCGGGCUAAGACCCGGAAGACGGCGAACUCCGCUCCGCCCGACCCCAGGGCUCGGACUCGGGCUAAGACCCGGAAGACGGCGAACUCCGCUCCGCCCGACCCCAGGGCUCGGACUCGGGCUAAGACCCGGAAGACGGCGAACUCCGCUCCGCCCGACCCCAGGGCUCGGACUCGGGCUAAGACCCGGAAGACGGCGAACUCCGCUCCGCCCGACCCCAGGGCUCGGACUCAGGCUAAGACCCGGAAGACGACGAAACUCCACCUCGCCCGACCCCAGGGCUCGGACUCCGCCCUGGCCUCGGCCAAACGAUCUCCGCCUCGCCCGACCCAGGGGCUCGGGCUCGGCCUCGGCAACGGAAGACAGACUCGACCUCGGCUUCGGAGGAGCCCCCACGCCGCCCUGCCUAGGGCACAGGCCCGCCACGUCAACAGGAAGCGCCAUCAUCAUCCUACCCCGAAACGACUCGGGUCACGGAGAACAAGACCGGCGUCCCAUCCGGCCAGCUCCGCCGGAUGGGCAAUGAUGGCGCUCCACGAGCUCUGUGACGACGCCGGCCCUCAGCUCUCUUACGGAAGCAGGGCGACGUCAGCAAGGACUCGACCGCUCCAACAGCUGUCCCUCCGCCAGGCUCCGUCGCUCCUCCGACAGCCACGACAUCACGCCAGCAAGGUGCCAAGACCUCUCCGGCUGCCACAUUGGCAUGUACCUAGGGCGCUCUCUCUCUUUCCGCUAGACACGUAGCACUCUGCUACACCCCCCAUUGUACACCUGGAUCCUCUCCUUACGACUAUAAAAGGGAGGACCAGGGCCUUCUUAGAGAAGGUUGGCCGCGCGGGACCGAGGACGGGACAGGCGCUCUCUUGGGGCCGCUCGCUUCCCUCACCCGCGUGGACGCUUGUAACCCCCCUACUGCAAGCGCACCCGACCUGGGCGCGGGACGAACACGAAGGCCGCGGGACUUCCACCUCUCUCACGCCCGACUCCGGCCACCUCGCCUCUCCCCCCUUCGCGCUCGCCCACGCGCUCGACCCAUCUGGGCUGGGGCACGCAGCACACUCACUCGUCGGCUUAGGGACCCCCCUGUCUCGAAACGUCGACAGUUGGCGCGCCAGGUAGGGGCACGCUGCGUGCUGACGAACAGCUCCCCGUCAAGCUCCAGAUGGGCAGUCUCCAGCAACCUCUCCGGCCCGGGGCGGUGCUUCAUUUCGGGACUCUUGAGUUCAUGUCCUUCGACGGCAGCUACGACAUGAUACUUCUUCCACCGCCGCGUGACAACGACAAUGGCGGCCGACAACCCGCCCGCCGGCGGCGGAAUCGACGACACCUUCCCCGCGUGGUGGAAGAACAACAUUCGAGCUCGCUCCGUUCUCUCCCCCGCCAACGGAGGAGGAGGCGGGGCCAUCAAGGCCAAGCGGGAGGCCGCGCUUCGUUGGCCGUCGAGCGAAUCGACGCCCCCGACGCCCCGACGGAAGGCACGCCGGACGUCGACCUCGCGUUCGAGACGAAGGCAAGCGCCGUCCCCCCACGACACGCUGACCCCGAGCAAGAAGACGACGCCGGCGUGCUCGCGGAAAGCCUGCAGGACGUCACCCUCGUACCUGAGAUGACGGUGCAACCAGUCCCCGAUGUGACUACGUCGCUCCUCGUCGACCAAAAGGUACCGACUAACUCCCAUCUUACGUCAUUUCGACUCGGCCUCAACCCGCCAAACGACCUUGCUUUGGCGGGCGCUCUCAUUGAGGCGAGUGCAACCCUACUGGGGUUUCGUAUGCGGUCGCCUUGGGACCGGCUGACGGACGUCUCGACCUACGGGCCCUCUGGGUCCGAGGAAGAUGACGAUCCCAGCAUCUGUUGGGAUUUCUCCGGACUUGGCAACCCCAGUGCCAUGCAGGACUUCAUGACCGCAUGUGACUACUGCCUCUCCGACUGUUCCGACGGAAGCCGCAGCCUUGGCGACGAGAGCUGCGGCCCAAGCCGCGAAUGUUUCCACAUCGAGCUAGGGGAUCCCUCCGAAGGCAACCAUCUCGGCAUGCCGGAGGACGGUGAUCUUCCUAGGCCGGUGCCUCGCGCCGACAUCCCACGGGAGCUAGCUGUGGUCCCCGCUCCGGCGGGGGGUUACGACCCACAACUCGAGCAAGUCCGCGAGGCGCAGGCCAGGCUCAACGAGGGAACAGGAGCGCUUGAGCCAAUCCGUCGGGACGUCGGGCAGGUAUGGGCGGGCCAACCCCUGGUCGGAGAAAUACAUCACCUGCCCCAAGGUCUCCAACACCGCGUCGCCAACGAUGUCAGGGUCAGGCCGCCGCCCGCAUCCAGCGGAGUUGGUCAGAACCUGGUAGCCGCAGCGAUGCUCCUCCGCGCGAUGCCGGAGCCAUCAACCACCGAGGGUCGGCGAAUCCAGGGAGAGCUCAAGAAUCUCCUGGAAGGCGCUGCGGCCCGACGGGCCGAGAGCACUGCCUCCCGAAGGCAGGGAUAUCCCUCGGAACCUCAUGCCGCGACUUCCCGAUUCAUGCGGGAAGCCUCGGUCUACACCGGGCGCACGCGUAACACCGCGCCUGCGGCCCCGGGCCACCUCGGCAACGAGCACCAUCGACGCGACCGUCGGGCCCACCUCGACGAAAGGGUGCGCCGAGGCUACCACCUCAGGCGUGGGGGGCGCUACGACAGCGGGGAGGAUCAGAGUCCCUCGCCCGAACCACCUGGUCCGCAGGCCUUCAGUCGGGCCAUCCGACGGGCGCCAUUCCCGACCCGGUUCCGACCCCCGACUACUAUCACGAAGUACUCGGGGGAAACAAGACCGGAACUGUGGCUCGCGGACUACCGCCUUGCCUGCCAACUGGGUGGGACGGACGACGACAACCUCAUCAUCCGUAACCUCCCCCUGUUCCUCUCCGACACUGCUCGCGCCUGGUUGGAGCACCUGCCUCCGGGGCAGAUCUCCAACUGGGACGACUUGGUCCAAGCCUUCGCUGGCAAUUUCCAGGGCACAUACGUGCGCCCCGGGAAUUCCUGGGACCUUCGAAGCUGCCGGCAACAGCCGGGGGAGUCGCUCCGGGACUACAUCCGGCGAUUCUCGAAGCAGCGCACCGAGCUGCCCAACAUCACUGACUCGGAUGUCAUCGGCGCGUUCCUCGCCGGCACCACUUGCCGCGACCUGGUGAGCAAGCUGGGUCGCAAGACCCCCACCAGGGCGAGCGAGCUGAUGGACAUCGCCACCAAGUUCGCCUCUAGCCAGGAGGCGGUCGAGGCUAUCUUCCGAAAGGACAAGCAGCCCCAGGGCCGCCCAUCGGAAGAGGCUCCCGAGGCGUCUGCUCCGCGCGGCGCCAAGAAGAAAGGCAAGAAGAAGUCGCAAUCGAAACGCGACGCCGCUGACGCGGACCUUGUCGCCGCCGCCGAGUACAAGAACCCUCGGAAGCCCCCCGGAGGUGCAAACCUCUUCGACAAGAUGCUCAAGGAGUCGUGCCCCUACCAUCAGGGGCCCGUCAAUCACACCCUCGAGGAGUGCGUUAUGCUUCGGCGUCACUUCCACAGGGCCGGGCCACCCGCCGAGGGUGGCAGGGCCCGCGACGACGACAAGAACGAAGAUCACCAAGCAGGAGAGUUCCCCGAGGUCCGCGACUGCUUCAUGAUCUAUGGAGGGCAUGCGGCGAAUGCCUCGGCUCGGCAUCGCAAGCAAGAGCGCCGGGAGGUCUGCUCGGUGAAGGUGGUGGCGCCAGUCUACCUAGACUGGUCCGACAAGCCCAUCACCUUCGACCAGGCCGACCACCCCGACCAUGUGCCGAGCCCGGGGAAAUACCCGCUCGUCGUCGACCCCGUUGUCGGCAACGUCAGGCUCACCAAGGUCCUGAUGGAUGGGGGCAGCUGCCUCAACAUCAUCUACGCCGAGACCCUCAAGCUCCUGCGCGUCGAUCUGUCCUCCGUCCGAGCAGGCGCUGCGCCCUUCCACGGGAUCAUCCCUGGGAAGCGCGUCCAGCCCCUCGGGCGACUCGACCUCCCCGUCUGCUUCGGGACGCCCUCCAACUUCCGAAGGGAGACCCUGACGUUCGAGGUGGUCGGGUUCCGAGGAACCUACCACGCCGUACUAGGGAGGCCAUGCUACGCGAAGUUCAUGGCCGUCCCCAACUACACCUACCUGAAGCUCAAGAUACCGGGCCCCAACGGGGUCAUCACCGUCGGCCCCAUGUACAAACACGCGUUCGAAUGCGACGCGGAGUGCGUGGAGUACGCCGAGGCCCUCACCGAGUCCGAGGCCCUCAUCGCCGACCUGGAGAACCUCUCCAAGGAGGUGCCAGACGUGAAGCGCCAUGCCGGCAACUUCGAGCCAACGGAGACGGUUAAGGCCGUCCCUCUUGACCCCAGUGGCGACACCACCAAGCAGAUCCGGAUCGGUUCCGGGCUUGACCCCAAAUAGGAAGCGGUGCUCGUCGACUUUCUCCGCGCAAACGCCGACGUCUUUGCGUGGAGUCCCUCGGACAUGCCCGGCAUACCGAGGGAUGUCGCCGAGCACUCGCUGGAUAUUCGGGCCGGAGCCCGACCCGUCAGGUAGCCUCUGCGCCGAUUCGACGAGGAGAAGCGCAGAGUGAUUGGCGAAGAGAUCCACAAGCUAAUGGUAGCAGGGUUCAUCAAAGAGGUAUUCCAUCCCGAAUGGCUUGCCAACCCUGUGCUUGUGAGGAAGAAAGGGGGGAAAUGGCGGAUGUGUGUAGACUACACUGGUCUCAACAAGGCAUGUCCGAAGGUUCCCUACCCUCUGCCUCGCAUCGAUCAAAUCGUGGAUUCCACCGCUGGGUGCGAAACCCUGUCCUUCCUCGAUGCCUACUCAGGGUAUCACCAGAUCCGGAUGAAAGAGUCCGACCAGCUCGCGACUUCUUUCAUCACGCCGUUCGGCAUGUACUGCUAUGUCACCAUGCCGUUCGGUUUGAGGAAUGCGGGCGCGACGUACCAGCGGUGCAUGAACCAUGUGUUCGGCGAACACAUCGGUCGCACAGUCGAGGCCUACGUCGAUGACAUCGUAGUCAAGACAAGGAAGGCUUCCGACCUCUUCUCCGACCUUGAAGUGACAUUCCGAUGUCUCAAGGCGAAAGGAGUCAAGCUCAAUCCUGAGAAGUGUGUCUUCGGGGUGCCCCGAGGCAUGCUCCUGGGGUUCAUCGUCUCCGAGCGAGGCAUUGAAGCCAACCCGGAGAAGAUCGCGGCCAUCACCAGCAUGGGACCCAUCAAGGACUUAAAAGGUGUACAGAGGGUCAUUGGAUGCCUCGCGGCCCUGAGCCGCUUCAUCUCACGCCUCGGCGAAAGAGGUCUGCCUCUGUACCGCCUCUUAAGGAAGGCCGAGUGUUUCGCUUGGACCCCUGAGGCCGAGGAAGCCCUCGGGAACCUGAAGGCGCUCCUUACAAAGGCGCCUGUCUUGGUGCCCCCGGCGGAUGGAGAAGCCCUCUUGGUCUACGUCGCCGCGACCACUCAGGUGGUUAGCGCCGCGAUUGUGGUCGAGAGGCAAGAGAAAGGGCAUGCAUUGCCCGUUCAGAGGCCGGUCUACUUCGUCAGCGAAGUGCUGUCCGAGACCAAGAUCCGCUACCCACAAGUUCAAAAGCUGCUGUAUGCUGUGAUCCUGACAAGGCGGAAGUUACGACACUACUUCGAGUCUCAUCCGGUAACUGUGGUGUCAUCCUUCCCCCUGGGGGAGAUCAUCCAGUGCCGAGAGGCCUCGGGCAGGAUCGCAAAGUGGGCGGUGGAAAUCAUGGGUGAAACGAUCUCGUUCGCCCCUCGGAAGGCCAUCAAGUCCCAGGUGUUGGCGGACUUCGUGGCCGAAUGGGUCGACACCCAGUUGCCGACGGCUCCGAUCCAACCGGAGCUCUGGACCAUGUUUUUCGACGGAUCGCUGAUGAAGACAGGAGCCGGCGCGGGCCUGCUCUUCAUCUCGCCCCUUGGAAAGCACCUGCGCUACGUGCUGCGCCUCCAUUUCCCGGCGUCCAACAAUGUGGCCGAGUACAAAGCUCUGGUCAACGGGUUGCGGAUCGCCAUCGAGCUAGGGGUGAGACGCCUCGACGCCCGCGGUGAUUCGCAGCUCGUCAUCGACCAAGUCAUGAAGAACUCCCACUGCCGCGACCCGAAGAUGGAGGCCUACUGCGACGAGGUUCGGCGCCUGGAAGACAAGUUCUUCGGGCUCGAGCUCAACCACAUCGCUCGGCGCUACAACGAGACUGCAGACGAGCUGGCUAAAAUAGCCUCGGGGCGAACGACGGUCCCCCCGGACGUCUUCUCCCGGGAUCUGCAUCGACCCUCUGUCAAGAUCGACGACGCGCCCGAGCCCGAGGCACCCUCGGCUCAGGCCGAGGCGCCCUCGGCUCGGCCCGAGGCACCCUCGGCUCAGCCCGAGGUACCCUCGACCCCCGAGGGCGAGACACUGGACGUCGAGGAAGAGCAGAGCGGGGCCACGCCUGAUCGAGACUGGCAGGCCCCGUACCUGCAAUAUCUCCGUCGAGGAGAGCUACCCCUCGACCAAGUCGAGGCUCGGCGGGUAGCGCGACGCGCCAAGUCGUUCGUCUUGCUGGGCGAUGAAGAGGAGCUCUACCAUCGAAGCCCAUCGGGCAUCCUCCAGCGAUGCAUCUCCAUCGCCGAAGGUCGGGAACUGCUGCAAGAAAUACACUCGGGGGCUUGCGGCCAUCACGCAGCGCCCCGAGCCCUUGUCGGGAAUGCUUUCCGGCAAGGCUUCUACUGGCCAACGGCGGUGGAUGACACCACUAGAAUUGUCCGCACCUGCGAAGGGUGCCAAUUCUAUGCGAAGCAGACCCACCUGCCCGCUCAGGCUCUGCAGACGAUACCCACCACCUGGCCCUUCGCUGUAUGGGGUCUGGACCUCGUCGGUCCCUUGCAGAAGGCGCCCGGGGGCUACACGCACCUGCUGGUCGCCAUCGACAAAUUCUCCAAGUGGAUCGAGGUCCGACCUCUGAACAGCAUCAGGUCCGAGCAGGCGGUGGCGUUCUUCACCAACAUCGUCCAUCGCUUCGGGGUCCCAAACUCCAUCAUCACCGACAACGGUACCCAGUUCACCGGCAAAAAAAAUCUUGGAAUUUUGCGAGGAUCACCAUAUCCGGGUGGACUGGGCCGCCGUGGCUCAUCCCAUGUCGAAUGGGCAAGUAGGGCGUGCCAACGGCAUGAUUCUACAAGGGCUCAAGCCUCGGAUCUACAACGACCCCAACAAGUUCGGCAAGCGGUGGAUGAAGGAACUCCCCUCGGUGGUCUGGAGCCUAAGGACGACGCCGAGUCGUGCCACGGGUUUCACGCCGUUUUUCCUGGUCUACGGGGCUGAAGCUAUCUUGCCCACUGACCUGGAAUACGGCUCCCCGAGGACGAGGGCCUACACCGAUCAAAGCAACCAAGCUAGCCGAGAAGAAUCGCUGGACCAGCUGGAAGAGGCUCGGGACAGGGCCUUACUACACUCGGCGUGGUACCAGCAGUCCCUGCGACGCUACCACGCCCGAGGGGUCCGGUCCCGAGACCUCCAGGUGGGCGAUCUGGUGCUUCGGCUGCGGCAAGACGCCCGAGGGAGGCACAAGCUCACGCCCCCCUGGGAAGGGCCAUUCGUCAUCGCCAAAGUUCUGAAGCCCGGAACAUACAAGUUGGCCAACAAUCAAGGCGAGAUCUACGGCAACGCUUGGAACAUCAAACAGCUACGUCGCUUCUACCCUGAAGAUGUUUCCAAGUUGUUCAUAUACCUCGCACCUACGCAAAGUUUAGUCGUCAAGGAAGGGUCGGCCUAGCCUCGGCAAAGCCCGACCCUCCCUCGGGGGCUAAAAGGGGGGAGACCCCCUCUGCGUCGAAUUUUUCCUCGAAAAAGGAUCUCUUUUUAGCAGGAUUUCUUUCGUGCUUCUUGACUACUUCGGAAAGCGGAUCCUGGAAACGACGGAGUACACGUAAGCAGCCAAGGCUGACCGAGCCGAGGGACUCCUACGCCUCCGGGAUACGGAUACCUCACUCAUCACCUUCUGCGAUAAGUAACUCUCGUUCGGAUAAAGUGACUCCGUGGACCGAACAAGUCUUCACGUUUGGAAGCUCUCCUGCCGAAGCAGUCCUUCAAGCUUUCUCGACUAAGUCGGGGAUAGGGCCUCAUGAACGGGUGAAAGUACGCGUAAGCGGCAAGGCCGACCGAGCCGAGGGAUUCCCACGCCUCUGGGAUACGGAUACCUCACUCGUCCCUUCCGCGAGAAGCAACUCUCGCUCACACAAACAUCCCUGUUACCGACAGAGAGUCCAGAUGCUCGAAACAAGAGGAAAAAAGACGCAGCUUCGCAAGCACGGCGAGGGUGUGUUUUCUGGCCUCGGCGGCCGCAGAAGGCACACGCUACAAGACGAUCUGAUCCUGCAGGCUCGGGUCUUCACGCUGAAGGGAGCCGUAGCACCCUCGGCAUCGACGACGUCUUCAGCAAACUCCGACCCAGCCUCGGACGGCGACGCGGUCCAGGGACUUCUCCGGGAAUCCGGCCCGAGCAGGCGGCUCAGCCGGUUACCCCUGGGGCCUCGGCCAACCGGCUUCCAAGGGCGCCAGCCCGACCCGAGGCCUCGUCUGAUCGACUUUGGCGUCGGCUCCGCUGACGGACAACCCGGCUAGGCUCCGGCCAACCAGGUUCCCAUUCUCGAGCCAACUCCGCCUCUGUUCAUACUGAUAUCGCUACCCCUGGCCUCGGCUCAUCGAAGAGCGGCCGAGGGGUCUCUUUAACUAAGCUAGAGGAGCCCCAGACAACAAGGCCGAUCGGGCCGAGGGAUUCCUACGCCUCCGGGAUACGGAUACCUCACUCGUCACCUUGACAUGGGGCGACUCAUGCUUGGUAAAGCGGUUCAGAUAAUCAACGGGCGAGACUUAGUGCUCGAAAAUGAGGAAAAAACACGGCUCCGUGCCGAAAUUACAUACAUGUUCAGGCCCCGACAGCCGCAAUGAACAAACACACCGGCAUUCGAGAUGCCAUUACAAACGGAACUCCGGUUCCCCCUCCGCAGGUACGAACAACCCCACUCCGAGGGGGAAGGCCUGCGGAGCAACGGAAGGCCGGCGAACGGCGCGCCGUCACCUGCCCCAACAGCGGCGACGACGACGACUUCUGCUCCGGGGGGUCGAACAGCGGCAGCACUGACCUCAGGGCGGAUGCUGCUGCCAGGAGGCCCCCGCCCACGACAAAACUCGUGAGGCAAGGACGGGCAGAAGGCCGUAGAGUUGGAGGUCAGUCCAUGGCCAGCCCCGGCUAUCGAGCCGGCGGAAGAACCUCUUCCAGCUGCCGUGGCGGACGCCGGCGCCGCGAGCGGCUCCGAAGCCACUCGCGUCUGAAGACCGGGCACGCUGCAACUGCCAGCGCCACGGACAACAACCGCUCCUCCCCCCCAUCACUGAGUGAAGGAGCGGGCCGCCGCCCACGCGGAGGCCGACCUCAACUCGGCGCACUCCCCUCCCCAGCCCUGGUGAUGAAAAUCCUUGAGGCUGAGGGAGGGGCAGAGGCCGCAGCCCGGCUCGCUUUCCCCCACCAUCAAGCCGGAGGUCGCCAUCUCGGGUGACCGCCGGUGGAGGGGUGCAGCCGGGCUGCAUGAUGAAAAUCCUUGAAGACGAACGAUGGCUGAGAGGUACCAACUCCCAUGGAGUUGCGUUCCUCCAACGAGGAGGCGGAAAGGCGGCGGAUACCCCCCAUCCGGGAGCUUGGAAGAUGGAAAGACACGACGCAUAAGGAAGGAAGAAGACAUAGUUGCCUUCUGAAAGGAGUCUCCCUCCUUUUAAAGGCAACUCUCUCUACGUGCGCCCCCAGACGCCACGGGCUGAGUCUUCUCCAACACGCUCCAAGGCCCUCCCCUGCGACUCGGGGGCUGGGUCCCGCAUGUCAUGCAAACCGGCUCAGGGCAGAAGAAGCCAAACCGCCGCGCGUGGUGCGCACGACCGCCCAGCGGUUACAAGCGACCCCCCACUUUUGCCCAGACCAACGGGCGGAAGGGGCGGGCAGCCAUGCAGGCGGCAUGCAACCGCGCCAGGUGGACGCGCUUCUCCGACUUCUGACACGCCAGCUUGGAAGCCCAGGCCCACACGUCAAGCAACCGGCGCGCCAGUUGCUGCAUGCAAGUAACCGCACCGCCACUUGUGCCACCGUCGCGCCUCUUCGGUUGCGGAGCCUGUGCCGCGACUCAAGGCAGCCGGCGCACGACCCAGCGGCGCCAGUCUGGCGCGUUGGUCAAAGCGGCCGAAAGUGGGCCGGCAGUAAUGGCGGUGGUAGGCGGGCGGGCGCAGCAGUCACGUCGUCAGCCAGGCUCACGUCCCAUCCUGGGACAGCAAGAGAGCCUCCUCCCACGGCGUGAAGACAGUGCACCCGUGACCCGUCCCUCGAACGGAUCGCACACGCGCAACGGCCGCCCCGCCAACCACUCGCUCCGUUGCAUUAACUCCGCGGCGGGACACGCGGCGCCUCUGGCGGGAGAAGCGCGCGACGCUUCGCCUUCGCCGUAAUAACCGCGUCAAAAAGAGGUACGCCACGUCGUUCGAUUUCGUAUCCUUUUCCUUUAUUCCUCUUUCUCUAUCUCUUGCAACAGGGACCGGGAAAGGGGGAUACCCCGAAAAGGAUCCUUCUCCGCGAAGGAACCGGGCUCCGAGCCCCCCCUACUGAUCAGGGGUUCGAAGACUGGCCCUCCGAAGGGUUCAACAGUCGCCUCAGAUCGCGUGGGCCCGACACCCACUACUGGUCAGGGGUUCGAAGGCCAGCCCCCCGAAGGGUUCCAUGGCCGCCUCAGGCUACUCGGGCUCCGCGCCCAUUACUGAUCAGGGGUUCGAAGGCUGGCCCCCGAAGGGUUCACAGUCGCCUCAGACACCGAGCGAGGGAUGACCAGGGGUACGUUCGAUACAUAACCGAGGCUCGGGCUGUGCUCCCGAGGUACCCUAGGACAUUUCCGAGACCAGCGGGAACGAUCUUGUAACGGAAUCCCAUCGGAGGGAGGCAUCGAGCCAUCGGACCCCGUCGCCAGGGGACCGGGUCCGGCAAAUCACCCGCAGGUACUUUUGGGCGUGCCUCUGGGCCCCUAGCCGACCCCAACGAACGGGGCACGGACGUCCACUCGGAUUACCCGCUUGCAGCUCACCGGAGACACCAUGUUCGGUGCCCAUCGAGGGUAACAUGGCGCACUCCCCCCCUCCUCCUUGCGGAAAGGCGACGUAGGGGCGUAUGUAAAAAGUCGAGUCUGUCCCUGAUCGUCCUCUCGCCCUGUGCGGAGGCUCGGGGGCUGCUCUCGCAAACCCGGCUCCGGCCAAACCGUUGACAGCGUCAACAUACCAGCCCGAGAGCUUGGGCCCCGACCGUGCACCCGGGCUACGGCCAGUUCGCAUGAGGGAACAACCAGACCAGCCGAAGCAUUACGCAAGGCAUUAAGACCUCGAAGGACUGUAACCACUCCUCCGAGGCCUCGGGGGCUACACCCGGCGGGUGCGCUCGCGCGCACCCACCGGAACGAAAUGCAACCGAGAAAGGCUGGUCCCCUUGCAAAAAGUGCGACGGAAGCCUCCAAGCGAGUGCUAACACUCCCUUCGAGGCUCGGGGGCUACUGUCGGGGACCAUAAUUAGGGGUACCCUCAAGACGCCUAAUUCUCAGCUGGUAACCCCCAUCAGCAUAAAGCUGCAAAGGCCUGAUGGGUACGAUUAAGUCAGGGAUCAGUCCACACGAGUGACUCGAUCACGCUUCACCCGAGCCUAGCCUCGGCCAAGGGCAGCCGACCUCGAGAGACUUCCGUCUCGCCCGAGGCCCCCCUUUUUACGGCGGACACACCUCCGGCUCGCCCGAGGCCUUGGCUUCGCUCAGAAGCAACCCUGACUAAAUCGCCACACCGACUGACCAAGUUGCAGGAGCAUUUAACGCAAAGGUGGCCUGACACCUUUAUCCUGACACGCGCCCCCCGGCAGAGCCGAAGUGACCGCCGUCACUCCACCGCUCCACUGACCAGUCUGACAGAAGGACAGCGCCGCCUGCGCCACUCCGACUGCAGUGCCACUCGACAGAGUGAGUCUGACAGGCAGUCAGGCCUUGCCAAAGGCGCCAUAGCGAACUCCGCUCCGCCCGACCCCAGGGCUCGGACUCGGGCUAAGACCCGGAAGACGGCGAACUCCGCUCCGCCCGACCCUAGGGCUCGGACUCGGGCUAAGACCCGGAAGACGGCGAACUCCGCUCCGCCCGACCCCAGGGCUCGGACUCGGGCUAAGACCCGGAAGACGGCGAACUCCGCUCCGCCCGACCCCAGGGCUCGGACUCGGGCUAAGACCCGGAAGACGGCGAACUCCGCUCCGCCCGACCCCAGGGCUCGGACUCGGGCUAAGACCCGGAAGACGACGAAACUCCGCCUCGCCCUACCCCAGGGCUCGGACUCCGCCCUGGCCUCGGCCAAACGAUCUCCGCCUCGCCCGACCCAGGGGCUCGGGCUCGGCCUCGGCAACGGAAGACAGACUCGACCUCGGCUUCGGAGGAGCCCCCAUGCCGCCCUGCCUAGGGCACAGGCCCGCCACGUCAACAGGAAGCGCCAUCAUCAUCCUACCCCGAAACGACUCGGGUCACGGAGAACAAGACCGGCGUCCCAUCCGGCCAGCUCCGCCGGAUGGGCAAUGAUGGCGCUCCACGAGCUCUGUGACGACGGCGGCCCUCAGCUCUCUUAUGGAAGCAGGGCGACGUCAGCAAGGACUCGACCGCUCCAACAGUUGUCCCUCCGCCAGGCUCCGUCGCUCCUCCGACAGCCACGGCAUCACGCCAGCAAGGUGCCAAGACCUCUCCGGCUGCCACAUUGGCAUGUACCUAGGGCGCUAUCUCUCUUUCCGCUAGACACGUAGCACUCUGCUACACCCCCCAUUGUACACCUGGAUCCUCUCCUUACGACUAUAAAAGGGAGGACCAGGGCCUUCUUAGAGAAGGUUGGCCGCGCGGGACCGAGGACGGGACAGGCGCUCUCUUGGGGCCGCUCGCUUCCCUCACCCGCGUGGACGCUUGUAACCCCCCUACUGCAAGCGCACCCGACCUGGGCGCGGGACGAACACGAAGGCCGCGGGACUUCCACCUCUCUCACGCCCGACUCCGGCCACCUCGCCUCUCCCCCCUUCACGCUCGCCCACGCGCUCGACCCAUCUGGGCUGGGGCACGCAGCACACUCACUCGUCGGCUUAGGGACCCCCCUGUCUCGAAACGCCGACACAUACGCUCAAGUAAAAUAUCAUACUAGGGACUAAUUGUUUUCAGAAUCUGAAAAGUUCUGCUCAAUGAAGCUAUGUAUUUAUCGAUAUUGUUAUUGGUUUCCAUGGUUCAUAAAAGAGCAUAACAGAUACAUGAAGGAUAAUUUGUUCCUGGUUCUUGUCCUGUAAUUUUCUUUAUGAUCACUGAAGGUUUAUUUUUUUCUAUACCCUGAAUAUCUAAAACCACUGCCAAAACCGUAUGAAUCAUCAUCGCAUUGCCACUGCACCAAACAAAUUUUCCGUAAACAUAGGAUCCGAAGAGAGGACACCGAAAGGAACCAUACGAGGGACGUAUCAAAAGGGCCUCAGUGUGUGUAACAACAUAGAGCGAUCAACGGCGGACGAAUCUGCCUCACCGAAAUCCGCUAUCAGAUCUAGCAAUUCAGAGCAGAGCGAUCAACGGCGAAUGAAUCUGCCUCACCGAAAUCAUCAUCUCACCUCAUCGUCGUCGAUGCCGCCGUCGGCCAGGAACAAGGAGCAGAGCGGCG
rnacentral:lncRNA from 1 species